rnacentral:lncRNA from 1 species
CUUAAACAAGUUUUUUCUACUGUAAAAUUUGACUUAAGUUCAGAUUACUAGAACGAAGUUGUUUUCUUUCGCCGUUUGACUUUCUUUGCUUCGCUAGAUUUGAUUCUUUUUGCCAACCGGAGUUCUUAAGUUGAACCUUCUGGUUAGAUCUCUUAUUUGAAUUUUAUCUGUGCAUUAGAUGAGUACUUAUUGUAUGCUUGUUUGUUUGCCUGCGAUAGAGUACCCGGAGUGCGCCGCCUGUUACUUCGAAUCGUUAGGUUUCACGGAUCAUCAGCAAGGCAAGUAACACUUUGAUCAUACCUUUUCUUCAACCCAGUUUUUUUGCAUUAGAUCAAUCUUCACACCUUGCAUGAUUAGGAUCUAAUUAAACUGUGGGAUGGGAAGUAGAUGAGGUAGUACCUAUUACCUGUUUAUUAUCAAACCUUUGGGAGUUACUUCUACGUUUGCUUACUAUGCCAUGCUAUGCUAGUAGACGUGGAUUGGGUGAGUGAAAUCCAUGACAGAUGUGAGAUUGAUAAUUAAUGGUUUAUCUAAGGUGGCAACUUAAAUACAUAUCUGGGUGGAUUGAGGCACCUGGGUAUUCCAGGACAUGCCUGUUUUCGUUUGGACCGCCACCCAGGCUCAAAGGGAUCAUGAGAUUUUUCAAACUAGAAACUUCCGUGUGCAGCCACAAGCCAUUAUGGGCUCUGGCAUAGUUUAUUAAGUCGUGCGAACUCUUACAGGGUAGACUAGAAGAUGUAGGGGAAAGUACGUGUACCGGUCUAUCCAUCAGAAGGUGCUAGCGCUUCUGAAAGACUGUGUCUCGGUCAUCCGUUUCUCAAACACCAUGUAGUGCGAGAAAUCCAACGGAGGCGAUCGAGUCUUGUGGGAAAAGUGCGCAAACCUCUGCAGAGUGUAACAAACUAAUCAUGAUUAGUCGUGUCCCCGGUUAUGGACAUCUUGAGUAUCUAGUAUCUGGAUUAUCAUGUGAAUCUCAACAUGUUACUCUAAAAUUAAUGUUGUUGGGUUAAUGAUGAUGCUUAAUUGGGAUUGAGAAUGCUGUCAACCAUUCUCAAUGUUUAACAACCACCAUGAUAGUAAUUAAAUUUAUUCCUUUUGAAGUAGGGAAAAAUUGGCUUUAUGCAAAACUGUAACCAUAGAGCUUUCCACCAGCCAAAUAUGCAUAUAGUAUAGCUAUUGCAUUCCAUUACUCUCUAUGUGUUACCUUGCCAACAUAUUCCAUGUACUGACCCGUUUUCGGGCUGCAACGUUAAUGUUGCAGACUUUUCAGAUGAUGAUUAAGGAGUUUUAGGUCGUGGUUCUAUACUCAGUGAUGCCGUUGGAGCUGAUGGACUCACUUAUCUUCUAAGCCUUCCGCUGUUAUCGUAAUUAGAUGGCCUUAAGCCAUAUUUAUUGUAAUAAGUUCUCUUUUGAGACACUCGAUGUAAUAAGUGUGUGAUUGCAACUCUACUAUAAAUCCUCCGAGUACUAUGUGGUGUCAGCAUUACUGAUCCAGGGAUGACACCGGAGCACAGAGAUCAGACUGUUCGAGGUCUGGUCGCUACAGAGAUGGUAUCAGAGCACACGCUGACUGUAGGACACGACCACUAAGCUAAAGACCUAGAUCACUACUCACUCUCUUCUCUUCUGACCUCUCAUCUUUUCUACUCUUUAGGAUGGCGGAUGCAAGGAACAAGUUCACCCAACCGGAUGAAGAUACACCCUUUGGACGCCACUUGAAGGAAGUCACUAGAUACCUGAACAUAGGAGUACCAAGCUUCACAGGAACCUACAACGCCACUUUACCUAAAGAAGAGCACUGGAUGAUUCAAGUUCAAGUUCCAGGAAGGACGUUCAUGCCAGUCAUUGAGCCCAUAGAGUUUUCUUUUGAUACACCAACUUGGAGUCUAGGAAAGAGCAUGGCAGCUCACAUCGCCAUGGGACGCAUUGGAGAAGUCUACCACAAGGAUCUCAAGGAUACUAUCUACCAAAUUUGCGGGCGCCGAGAUGAACACUAGGAGAUGAUUAACACCAGGAAAGAUAGAUCAAUUGCAGCUUUUAUUCAGGAGUUAAAUCAGCACAUUCGAUGACAGGAGAAUCAGAUGUGCGCCGACAUGAUAGGUCUGAAGAAGGCGAAGACUAGAAUCAAGGAACUGGAGGAAGAACUCAAGGCUACAUGUGAAGAUUAUGAAGAAGAAAUUGAAGUAUUGGUGGAUAAGAAUGCCGACCUAACUAUGAAGCUAGCAGUAUUUAUGGGAGGCCCGACACCAGUAGAUGAAGACGAAGAACCCAAGGAGAUUAGCCUGGAAGACUACAUCAUCAUCGACGACACCGACUCGGAAGCAGAUAGUAGCGAUGAUGACUAUGUUGAUGAAGCAGGAGCAGAUAUCAUGGAGUCUACAACCGUAGAAUAUUUCUAGUAGACCACCUCAUCAGUAGUAGUAGUCCAUCAUGUAAAUAUAGUAGUCCGAGCACUUUGUGAUAGUUAGAUCGAUUGUAUGCCUUUGUUUGUUUCAAUUAAGUGAAUUGUUUGCUUUUGCCUCAUGUGCAUAUGGGUAGUGUUUUCUCUUUAGACCCCCUCUAUUCUUAUAUCUCAUCUUUUCUAAACCCUCAGAUGCCUCCGAGACGUGACCCCGGAUUUGCCUUUCCGCCGGAGCUCACCCAGUUGAUCCAGCAGCAGAACACCUUGAUGCAGUUGCUAGUCCAGAAUCAGAAUCAGGGGAACAACAACAACAACCCACCACCACCACCACCACCGGUUGACCACUUAGCCCGUUUUCUUAGGCUGAAUCCGCCGGUGUUUUCCAGUAGCACCGAGCCGAGAGUAGCAGAUGAUUGGCUCCGCAAGACAUCUAGGGAGUUGACCACAGCAGGAUGCACAGAUGCGGAGAAGGUUAAGUUUGCCGCACAUCAGUUAGAAGGACCCACAGCAUCAUGGUGGGAGAAUUUCACAGCCACCUUUCCAGUCGACACUGUCACAUGGGAUCAAUUUCAGCAGGCUUUCCAUACUGCCCAUGUUUCAGCAGGAGCUAUGGCCAUGAAGAAGCGUGAGUUUCGUAACUUGCGCCAAGGAGGAUGGACAGUUGGCCGGUAUGUGGAGGAGUUUAGUAAGCUAGCACGUUAUGCCCCAGAUGACGUUGCUACGGAUGCAGCUAAGCAGGAGAAGUUCCUGGAAGGACUGAAUGAUGAGUUGAGUAUGCAGUUGAUGGUAGCCACCUUCAACAACUACCAGGAGUUGGUAGACCGUGCUCUUAUGAUUGAAGGGAAGUAGCAGCAAAUUGAGGACCGCAAGAGGAAGUAUGGACAAGGAAAGUAUAAUUCAGGAGCUCAGCAGAAGCCACGUUUUACCCCUAGACCGGGAGGACAUUUUUAGCAUACCCAUGGAGUAGGUAGCUCGCACAAUCACAAUGGCACCAAUAAUGGUAAUGGGAAUGGAGGAAGCAAUGGCCAGAACCGCAGCACCCCAUCAACCCCAGCCAAGAGAGAUUUGAGUCAAGUCACCUAUUUCAAGUGUUCCAAGACCGGACAUUAUGCCAAUGAAUGUCCUGAAGGCCAAAACGGCAAUGGAAGUUCUGGAAAGAAGUCGAAUCCUUUCAACAGGGGACAGGUGAACCACGUUAAUGUGGAGGAGGUUGAAGCUCAGCCCGAUGCAGUAAUAGGUAAGUUUUUGGUUAAGUCAUUUAGUGCACUCGUUCUUUUUGAUACUGGUGCAUCGCAUUCAUACAUAUCAAGGGGAUUUGUGGAAAAGUUUAGCCUACCCACUAGGGUUCUCAAAACACCUAUGCUAGUAAGCUCACCAGGAGCAGAGUACAUGGCCAGUCAAGGAUGUUUUCAAGUGCCAUUAAAUAUAGGACGGCAUGUUUUCCCAACAGAUUUAAUUAUUCUGGAAUCCCAAGGUCUGGAUGUGAUUCUUGGUAUGGAUUGGCUGUCGAUGUAUGGAGGAAACAUCGAUUGUGCUAGUAAGUCAAUUUUGCUUACCACCCUAGAAGGGAGAAGGAUCAAGUAUGUAUCCCGGCAUGCGCCAACCAAGACACAAGUAAAUUCAUUAACAGGAGUUGUGCAGGAGGAAGUACCAGUGGUAGGGGAAUUCCCUGAUGUAUUUCCAGAGGAGUCUCCAGGCAUGCCACCGGAUAGAGAUAUUGAGUUCUUGAUUGAGCUAUUGCCAGGCACAGGGCCAAUAUCAAAGAGACCAUAUAGGAUGCCAGCAAAGGAUUUGGUGGAAAUUAAGAAACAGAUUAAGGAGUUACAGGAUAAAGGUUACAUUUGCCCAAGUUCUUCACCUUGGGGAUCACCAGUACUAUUAGUAGAGAAGAAGGAUGGAUCGUUAAGGAUGGUUGUUGAUUAUCGAGGAUUGAAUGAAGUAACAAUCAAGAACAAGUACCCGCUACCAAUGAUCAAUGAUCUGUUUGAUCGAUUGCAAGGAGCUAAAGUGUUUUCCAAGAUCGAUUUGCGAUCAGGGUACCACCGGUUGAAGAUUCGAGAACAGGAUAUUCCAAAGACAGCUUUUACCACCAGGUAUGAGCUGUAUGAGUAUACCGUUAUGUCAUUUGGUCUGACUAACGCGCCUGCCUAUUUUAUGAACAUGAUGAACAAAGUGUUUAUGGAGUUUUUGGAUAAGUUCGUCGUAGUGUUCAUUGAUGAUAUCCUGGUUUAUUCAAAGAAUGAAGAGGAACAUAAGGAGCAUUUGCGUUUGGUACUUGGAAAGCUCAGAGAACAUCAAUUAUAUGCCAAGUUCAGCAAAUGUGUGUUUUGCUUGAAGGAAGUAGGAUUCCUCGGACACGUUAUAUCUGGAGAAGGUAUAGCUGUUGAUCCCACUAAAGUUGAUACCGUGACCAAGUGGGAAGCCCCAACUACCGUUGGAGAGAUCCGGAGUUUUCUUGGACUCGCAGGAUACUACCGGAGGUUUAUUGAGAAUUUUUCAAAGAUUGCGAAGCCAAUGACGGAGUUGUUGAAGAAAGAUACCAAGUUCAAAUGGACUCAGCAGUGUGAGGCUAGUUUCCAGGAGUUGAAGAAAUGCUUGGUUACCUCACCAGUGUUGAUUUUGCCAGAUCAGACCAAGGAUUAUGAGGUGUAUUGCGACGCUUCACGUCGAGGACUUGGAGCAGUGCUUAUGCAGGAAGGGAGAGUUGUUUCAUAUGCCUCAAGACAACUGAAGCCCCAUGAGUUGAAUUACGCUACGCAUGAUUUGGAGUUAGUAGCCGUAGUGCAUGCCUUGAAGACAUGGAGACAUUUCCUCAUCGGAAAUCAUUGUGAGGUGUACACGGAUCAUAAGAGUUUGAAGUACAUUUUCACACAGAAGGAGUUGAACCUCAGACAAAGGAGAUGGUUGGAGCUCAUCAAGGAUUAUGAUAUGAAAUUGCAUUAUCAUCCCGGGAAGGCUAAUGUAGUAGCUAAUGCAUUAAGCCGCAAGAGCCAUGUCAAUACGUUAAUGAUGGGAGAAAUACCCAAGGAGUUAGCAGAAAAUCUUCGUGAACUAUGUUUGGAAAUAGUUCCGAGAGGCUAUGUAGCAGCGUUGGAGAUUCAGUCAACUUUGAUGGACAGAAUCAGGGAAGCUCAGAAGACUGACAAGGAGAUUGCUUCCAUAAAGGAGAAAAUGAAAGAAGGAAAAGCUAAAGGAUUUCAUGAGGAUGAGCACGAUACCCUAUGGUUUCAAGACCGUGUCUAUGUGCCCAAUGACCCAAAGAUCAGGAAGUUAAUUCUGCAAGAGGCCCAUGAUUCACCCUAUUCGAUUCACCCAGGGAAUACCAAGAUGUAUCUGGAUUUGAAGGAUAUUUUCUGGUGGACCGGAAUGAAGAAAGAAAUAGCAGAGUAUGUAGCAGUUUGUGAUGUAUGCCAGAGAGUAAAGGCAGAGCAUCAGAAGCCAGCAGGAUUGUUACAACCAUUGCCGAUACCCGAAUGGAAGUGGGAUAAGUUAGGCAUGGAUUUUAUCACGGGAUUGCCCAGGACUCGUUCAGGCUAUGACUCUAUUUGGGUUGUAGUCGAUCGAUUGACGAAAGUAGCUCAUUUCAUCCCAGUAAAGACCACUUAUACCAGUGCUAAGUUGGCAAAAAUAUACAUGACCAGAAUAGUAUGUCUCCAUGGAGUUCCGAGGAGUAUCGUAUCAGAUAGAGGAACCCAGUUUACCUCAAAGUUCUGGAAGCAGUUGCACGAAACUUUGGGAACUAGGCUAGAAUUCAGUACAACUUUUCAUCCGCAGACAGAUGGACAGACCGAGAGAGUCAAUCAGAUUUUGGAGGAUAUGCUGAGAGCUUGUGCGCUAGAUUAUGGAUCUAGUUGGGACGAUAAUUUGCCAUAUGCAGAGUUCUCUUACAAUAACAAUUACCAAACCAGUUUGAAGAUGGCCCCUUUCGAAGCUUUGUACAGAAGGAGGUGCAGGACACCGUUGUCGUGGGACGAAGUUGGAGACCGACAGUAGUUUGGACCUGACUUGAUUAAGGAGUCUGACAGAAAGUGAAGUUGAUUCGCGAUAGGCUCAAGGUAGCCCAGUCCAGACAAAAGAGUUAUGCAGAUUCUAAACGCAAGGAGACAGUAUACGAAGUUGGAGACAGAGCUUAUCUUCGAGUAUCUCCACUUUGGGGAACAAAGCGUUUUGGAGUUAAAGGGAAGUUAACGCCACCAUUUGUAGGACCAUAUCGAAUUUUGGAGCGUAUGGGAGAAGUGGCCUACAAGUUGGAAUUGCCCGAAGGAUUGUCAGGUGCUCAUGAUGUGUUCCACGUUUCCCAGUUAAAGAAGUGUCACGCGGAGAUGGCUAACAUACCAUUGAGAGACACAGUCCCUUUGGAAACUAUUCAGUUGGAUAACGAUUUGACCUACAAGGAGAAACCAGUUAAGAUCCUCGAGUUUGCCAGCUGAGUUACUCACAGCAAAGUUAUCAAGUUUUGCAAGGUUCACUGGAGCCACCACACGGAGGAUGAAGCCACCUGGGAACGAGAGGAAGAUUUGCUCAAAGACCACCCUCACCUAUUUUCUAGCCAACCCGAAUCUCGAGGGCGAGAUUCAUCUUAAGGGGGGUAGGUUUGUAACAUCCCAAAUUUUCAAUUUGGAAUGUUAUACAUUAGAUCAUCAUGCAUAUCAUAUUUUAUUUGCUUUGGGUUUUGAUCCUAGAAAAUUCUAAGCAACUCAAGGACCCACGGAGAGAGUUGGGGAUUUCGUUAUUUUCAUAUUUGAGUUUUCUCAAAUUUUGAGAAUAGGAUCAUUUGAUUUUAUUUAUUUUAUCAUCAAUUAUUUCUAUUACAAAAAUAUGAGAGAGGGAAUAAAAUGACUUUCCCAAAAUAUAGAAAUAUUGAGGAUUUAAUAAAAAAACCAAAUAGUUUUAUUUCGGAGUUUUUUGUUGUUUUUAUUUGAAUCAGGAAAAAUGCGCGUUUUUCAAAAUUGCAUUUAGGGCCCAAAUAAAUGUUCACUUUGUCGGGCUUGAUUUUAGAAGCCCGGAAAAAUUUAUUUCAGGAUUUUUGGAGUCCGUUUAGUAUUUCUUUUUAUUUUUCUUCCGAGCGGAAAAAAACGCAACCGACUUUGGGCCGUACUCGGCCAGGACUCCGCCUGGCCGGGGCCUUUAUAAUCCGGGGCAAGCCAGCCCGAAGGCCCAGCCGCCCCGAAACCCUAGCCGCGCCCUAGCCGCCAGCCGCCGCCGCCAGCCGCCGCCGCCCCGCCGCCGAUCCGCCGGAGCCGCGCAUCGCCCGAGAUUCGCCACUGCCUCGAAAUCCUUGCCAUUUUUUUUUAAAUUCCGUUCAUCGUUUUUGUUUUUCGUCGGAUUUUUCCGCGGUUAUUUUCUGAUCGCGAUUUCUGAUCCGAUUUUCGUUUUAGUUUAACUUUUCGCUCGUUUAUCGGAAUUAGGCGAUUCAAGCGCCUGGAGUUUUCGUAUUGAAACCGUCUAUCCGAAUAAUCAACUUCAACAAGUUUUUGCUACAGUAAAAUUUGACUUAGGUUCAGAUUACUAGAACGAAGUUGUUUUAUUUCGCCGUUUGACUUUCUUUGCUUCGUUCGAUUUGAUUCUUUUUGCCAACCGGAGUUCUUAAGUUGAACCUUCUGGUUAGAUCUCUUAUUUGAGUUUUACCUGUGCAUUAGAUGAGUACUUAUUGUAUGCUUGUUUGUUUGCCUGCAAUAGAGUACCCGAAGUGUGCCACCUGUUACUUUGAAUCGUUAGGUUUCACGGAUCAUCAGCAAGGCAAGUAACACUUUGAUCAUACCUUUUCUUCAACCCAGUUUUUUUUGCAUUAGAUCAAUCUUCACACCUUGCAUGAUUAGGAUCUAAUUAAACUGUGGGAUGGGAAGUAGAUGAGGUAGUACCUAUUACCUGUUUAUUAUCAAACCUUUGGGAGUUACUUCUAUGUUUGCUUACUAUGCCAUGUUAUGCUAGUAGACGUGGAUUGGGUGAGUGAAAUCCAUGACAGAUGUGAGAUUGAUAAUUAAUGGUUUAUCUAAGGUGGCAACUUAAAUACACAUCUGGGUGGACUGAGGCACCUGGGUAUUCCAGGACAUGCCUGUUUUCUUUUGGACCGCCACCCAGGCUCAAAGGGAUAAUGAGAUUUUUCAAACUAGAAACUUCCGUUUGCAGCCACAAGCCAUUAUGGGCUCUGGCAUAGUUGAUUAAGUCGUGCGAACUCUUACAGGGUAGACUAGCAGAUGUAGGGAAAAGUAGGUGUACCGGUCUAUCCAUCGUAAGGUGCUAGCGCUUCUGAAAGACUGUGUCUCAGUCAUCCGUUUCUCAAACACCAUGUAGUGCGAGAAAUACAACGGAGGCGAUCGAGUCUUGUGGGGAAAAGUGCGCAAACCUCUGCAGAGUGUAACAAACUAAUCAUGAUUAUUCGUGUCCCCGGUUAUGGACAUCUUGAGUAUCUAGUAUCUGGAUUAUCAUGUGAAUCUCAACAUGUUACUCUAAAAUUAAUGUUGUUGGGUUAAUGAUGAUGCUUAAUUGGGAUUGAGAAUGCUGUCAACCAUUCUCAAUGUUUAACAACCACCAUGAUAGUAAUUAAAUUUAUUCCUUUUGAAGUAGGGAAAAUUGGCUUUAUGCAAAACUGUAACCAUAGAGCUUUCCACCAGCCAAAUAUGCAUAUAGUAUAGCUGUUGCAUUCCAUUACUCUCUAUGUGUUCCCUUGCCACCAUAUUCCAUGUUCUGACCCGUUUUCGGGCUGCAACGUUAAUGUUGCAGACUUUUCAGACGACGAUUAAGGAGUUUUAGGUUGUGGUUCUAUACUCAGUGAUGCCGUUGGAGUUGAUGGACUCACUUAUCUUCUAAGCCUUCCGCUGUUAUCGUAAUUAGAUGGCCUUAAGCCAUAUUUCCUCUAAUAAGUUCUCUUUUGAGACACUCGAUGUAAUAAGUGUGUGAUUGCAACUCUGCUACAAAUCCUCCGAGUACUGUGUGGUGUCAGCAUUACUGAUCCAGGGAUGACACCGGAGCUCAGAGAUCAGACUGUUUGAGGUCUGGUCGCUACAGGGCAGCAGAGGGUGCCGCGAAGACGUCGAUGGCGGCGCGGAGCCCGGUGACAUGGGGCGGCGGCGCAACGAGGAGGUAGAGCUGGGCCGCGGAGCAAUGAGGAGCUUUGGCGGGGCGCUGGCAGAGGGGAUCGGCCAGCGGCGGAGCAUGGCGAGCUUGGCCAUAGCGGGCGGCGAGCCUGGCAGAGCGGCGGAGCAUGGCGCGGUGGCGGCGCACGCGGUCGGCGGGCGGCGGGAGGCGGUGACCGGCGCUGGAGGAGGCGGGAGCGCGUGGGCGGUGCGGCUCGUCAGAGUCCGGCGAGUUUCGGCGAGUGAGAGCGGGUGGCGCGGAAGCCGAGGUGGCGGCGGGGAACUCCGGCAAGGCGCCGACGAAGAUCCGGCGAGGCGCGGGCCUCCUCAGGCCCGGCGCGGCCCGAGGCGGGCCGGUGAUGGGCUUCGUGGCGAAGUGGGGCGCGGGUGUGUCGACGUGUCACGCUGUGAGUGGAGGAGAGCGGCGGCAGGGUGACGUGUUGCGCUCCCAUUGGUCGGAGUGAUGUGGCGGCGGGGUGGACGCGUCCGGCACGGACGGACAUGUCCGGCAGCGCGGAGGGAGUUCGAUCUAGGGUUUGUACCGCGAAUUUUGGAGGGAGCCACAUAUAUAUAGGUAGAGGGAGCUAGGUGAGUCCAAAUGAGGUGCGGUUUUCGGCCACGCGAUCGUGAUCGAACGACCGAGAGGAUGGUGGGGGAUUGGAUGGAUUUUGGGACACUUUGGAGGGGUGUUGGGCUGCAACACAACGAGGCCUUUACGGUUCCUCGGUUAACCGUUGGAGUAUCAAACGAAGUCCAAAUGGCACGAAACUUGACAGGCGGUCUACCGGUAGUAUACCAAGGCCGCUUGGAAAAUCUCGGUCCAAUCCGAGAACGUUUAACACUUGCACAUGAAAAGAGGCAAAAGGGGACUCCGGAUGACAUAGGAGCGCCGGAUUGCAAAACGGACAAUGGGGAAAAUGCUCGGAUGCAUGAGACGAACAUGUAUGCAAAUGCGAUGCACAUGAUGACAUGAUAUGAAAUGCAUGACAUGCAAACAAAUGACAAGGCAACAACAGUGAAUAACUGGAAGACACCUGGCGCAACGGUCUCGGGGCGUUACAACACUCCACCACUACGAGAGUAUCUCGCCCCGAGAUCUAGAAUGGCACCGGAGGGAAAAACGGAAGAGAAAGAGAAGAGGUAAAACUAAGUUGCUCCUUUGACAAACGAGUGAAACUAAAGAACCUUGCGAGGUUGAGCAAAUUGAAAGAAAGAAAGCAACGGCGAUGAAUGAAGUUGAAAGCACUCCGUUAGGAAAAAAGAACAAGGAAGAACAAAUUCGGACAGCACUCCGUUAGACAAGUGAUAUGAAACUUGAUAAGAUGAAAAGAACUUGGGCAGAGGGCACAACAAUUCGGUUAAAUGGAUAAGCAUGAAAAGAACAUGAUCCUCACAACUCGAGAAUAUGAGAGAAAAGAGCAACAAUCCUUAGAGAAGGCUUUAGGUGAAACAUGACACAAGAUAACUCCAAGGAAGGGAUUGGUGGAUUUAAAAUAUCUCAUUCUUGACAACAUGUGAAUCAUGAAACACACAGAAAUUGUCAAGAAUGACAUAAUACCACCGCAAAAGAUAAAGGAGAACAAUUGCACUCCGGAUUUCAAGAUGAAGAAUGCUUGAGCUCCUCUGAAAAGAAUCUCAAUGAACACUUCGAGAAGGAAUUAAAUAUUUGAUGAAUUCAUUUGGAGCCUCCAUGAAGAACUCCGGUAAUAAAAGAAUGAACAAACGAAAUGAAGGAUGAAAAGAAUAAGGUUGAAGCCUUGCAAUGAUUUAGAAGGAGCUUCACGACGAGAUAAUUGAGAGAGCUUGGAACUCCGAGAAAGAAAAGAUGAAGAAAAGAAAACGAAGAAUUUAUUCAUCAUGAACAAACUCCGAAGGAAGGAAUUUAUCACUUGGAUGAAACAAGAAUAAGAAUUACAUUAUGCUUAUCCUUCACCAAUUUAAAUUGAUGACAAGAAACGGAUUUUGCAUACUACUUAUUCUCGUAGAAAGGAUUAAGAUAGAUAUAGCGCAAACUUGGGAAAAACUUCAACGAACCACCGGUAGGAUUAAAACAACGAAUGAAUUAAAAUGAUAACCAUGGAAUAGAAUCUUGAGCAAACCACCGUAAUAACAAGAAAUGAUCAAGAUAAAGGGAUGAAUCACCGUUAAGAAAUAAAGAAUGAAUGAAGAUACUUGAGGGAAUUUGAUACAAGAGAACGAAGAGAUCAUGAGCUGAUUAUAGAAUAUUUGAAUGAUGCACCGGUAAGAUUUGGAGACAAUAGCUGAAAGCUGAGAAUGAAUAAUCCCGAAAUGAUGGCCUUCGGAGAAUCAAACUGAAAAGAAUAUUGAAUUGCUCCGGAUAGAUGAAAAGAAUUCUCACAAUCAAAAACAAUUAUGGGAGGAUGGCAUCAAGCUAGAAUCACGAUUCUUUGAGAGAACGAACCAAGAUUUGAGAGAAACUCUUCUUAGGUCUUCAAAUGUAGAGAAUGAUUAUGAGAAACACCACCAUGAAUUGUUGAGAUACUCCAGGAUGAAAAUUAGAAAGGUUGAACCAACGAUGAAAAGAAUUUGAAAGAUCUUAGAGAAGGACAUUUGACUGAUGGUAAUUCAUUCUUAUGUCAAACUUUAGAAAAAAAAUUGAGAAGCUCCGAAAAAUUAGAAGAGUCAGGUAAGAUCCUGGGAAAAGACAUGUGGGUUACGGGCCCACUCAAAAGAAAAGCACCGUUGAACGAUUUGAAGGGGAGAUUUCACUGGUUGAAUUAAAUGGCUUGAAUGAGAUAACAUCCUCGAAAGAGCUUGAAUGAAAGCAGAGUGGAAACACGAAUAUUCGAGAUAUCUUCAGCACUCCGGAACAAAAGAAUAGUGAGAGGUGAAUGAUUAAGAGGUGCACCAGCAUGAGAAAGCAUUUAAAACGAGGAAAAUAUAUGAUCAACAAAACUGGAAUUGAAUCCACCGGAGAAGAAAAAGAAUGAAGAAUGAUGAACUUGAGACUUCUGAGCAUCUCCACGAGAAAUCACCGGAUAAGAACAUUGACGGAAAAGAAUGGAGGCACUUCACAACCAUAAGAUGGAUACUCGAUUAACAGAUUUGAGUCCUUGAAGAAAAAAGGUGGGAGGGUGGGAAAACAAAGGCAAACUUGGAAAGGAUGAAGCAAACACCGUUGAGAAGAACUGAUAAUUGAUCUUGCGAAUGUUGAAGUGAUCGGAUCCACUUGAAGAGAGAGACACGGUUGAAAAGGAUUGGCAUGACAAUCCCGAUUAUCAAGAAGGAUUAGUAUUCACAUAGAAAUAUGAGAACACCACUUAGGCAAGGUAUGGAACCAACAUUUGACUUCGAAGCAACUCGAAUACCACAACUAAGAACAAAAACAUAGGAUUGGCCUGCAGAAUAAGCCGGAAAAAACAUAUGAUAGAGAUUUCAUCCGAAGUUUUCGUGGUGGGGCCCACACGGGCUCGAUCGUACAGCACCAUCAUGUACAAGGCAGUGCACGUGACAUACGAAGCGUCCCCGAGUUAGCAUAGCCAAGGACUCUUUAAAACACAACGAGACCACUGUAAAACCAACCGUGGAUAGGCGGACCACUAGACGUCGAACCCCAAUUUCAUAUCAUACAUCUGUCAGAAAGAUAUCCUAGGAGCUACUUGAAUUCCCACUUAUAAACUCCCGAAACUUUCCGGUUAUGCAAUCAGGUGUUGGGGAUACAGGGGAAGCAUAAUAUCUCACACAAAACUAGCAAAUCCUACAUCCAGUUGUAUCCAUCCAUCAACACAUAACCAAGAAACCUUCGGAAAUCAUUUACCUCAACCUUCAAAAAUCAUCCAUUAUACGAGUUAUGGCAAUACUCCCGAACUCCCGCCCCAGUACAGGGUGGCGUCGAGGUUAUCUCACCAACAACUGCAUAAAAGAGAUUUUCGAUGUCGGCGAAACUCAGGUAUUCCAAAAUUGCAACGAUAAAAUUGUGACGACAAGACCUCGGAGCUCAACUCCCCAGACACUGCCACAACCCCUAAAUGUCAGGAGGCACCAAGAACAAUGUUCUCAUCAUAAAACCAUCGGAGCGAUUCCAAUAUACCCGUGUGAUCCUAAAAAAAUUAGUGAAAUUUGAGAAGAGAAGAGUGAAAACUCUACAUCAGGAGGCCUCACCAAAGCGACAAAGGGACUGAGGAGUAAAAAGAAUCCUACUCUCCGAUAUAUAUAAUCCUCAAAGACUCAAAUUAUUUUUCUAGACUCAACAACGCCAGCGAUUCGAUCAAGCAGGGGGCUCCUAAGUCGGGGAAGGCUCUGAUACCAACUUGUAACACCCAUGAUGUGGCUAUAUCUCCCACGUGUCGGAGCAUGACUUAGAGGCAUAACCGCAUUGUAGGCAUGUCGCAAGAGGGGUAAUCUUUACACAUCCCAUGUACUGAAUAAGAAAGGGAUAAAGAGUUGGCUUGCAAUCGCCACUUCACACAAUACAUAAAUAUAGCAUUACAUCAUCCAGAAUACAAUCAAGUUCCGACUGUGGAUCCAAAUAAAAGAAGAUCACGCCUAAUGCAACAUAUCCCCGAUCGCCCCGACUGAGCUCCACUACUGAUCAACUAGAAACGAAACAACACAACGAACACGGUCUUCAUCGAGCUCCUCUUUGAGCUCGGUUGCGUCACCUGCACUGGUAUCAUCGGCACCUGCAACUGGUUUUGGAAGUAAUCUGUGAGUCACGAGGACUCAGCAAUCUCACACCCUCACGAUCAAGACUAUUUAUGCUUAUGGGUAGGGAAAAGGUAGUGAGGUGGAGCUGCAGCAAGCACUAGCAUAUAUGGUGGCUAACUUACGCAAAUGAGAGCGAGAAGAGAAGGAAAAGCACGCUCGUGAACUAGAGGUGAUCAAGAAGUGAUCCUGAAACUACUUAUGUUCAAGCAUAACUCCAACACCGUGUUCACUUCCCGGACCCCACCGAGAAGAGACCAUCAUGGCUACACACGCGGUUGAUGCAUUUUAAUUAAGUUAAGUGUCAAGUUCUCUACAACCGGACAUUAACAAAUUCCCAUUUGCCCAUAACCGCGGGCAUGGCUUUCGAAAGUUCAAAACCCUGCAGGGGUGUCCCAACUUAGCCCAUCACAAGCUCUCACAGUCAACGAAGGAUAUUCCUUCUCCCAGGAAGACCCGAUCAGGCUCGGAAUACCGGUUACAAGACAUUUCCACAAUGGUAAAACAAGACCAGCAAAGCCGCCCGAAUGUGCCGACAAAUCCCGAUAGGAGCUGCACAUAUCUCGUUCUCAAGGUACACCGGAUGAGCCAGACGUCGGGUUGGCAUAGACCCUGGUUGCCCAGGGGGCGCCGGACAUCGCUCAGGAUGGACCAACACUUAGAGAAGCACUGGCCGGGGGGGUUAAAUGAAGAUGACCCUCGUGCUCCGGAAACCCAAGGAAAAAAGGCUAGGUUGUUAGUGCAAAUGUAAAACCAAGGUUGGGCCUUGCUGGAGGAGUUUUAUUCAAGGCGAACUAUCAAGGGGUUCCCAUUAUAACCCAACCGUGUAAGGAAUGCAAAAUCAAGGAACAUAACACCGGUAUGGCGGAAACUAGGGCGGCAAGAGUGGAACAAAACACCAGGCAUAAGGCUGAGCCUUCCACCCUUUACCAAGUGUUUAGAUGCAUUAAGUAAAUAAGAUAUAUUGUGAUAUCCCAACAAAUAUCCAUGUUCCAACAUGGAACAAACUUCAAUCUUCACCUGCAACUAACAACGCUAUAAGAGGGGUUGAGCAAAGCGGUAACAUAGCCAAACAACGGUUUGCUAAGACAAGGUGGGUUAGAGGCUUGGUUUAGCAAUAUGGGAGGCAUGAUAUAGCUAGUGGUAGGUAUCGCAGCAUAGGCAUAGCAAUAGAGCGAGCAACUAGCAAGCAAAGAUAGAAGUGAUUUCGAGGGUAUGGUCAUCUUGCCUGCAAAGUUCUCCGAGAAGACGAAAGCUUGAUCUUUGUAAGCGUACUCAACGGAUCCUUGAACACGAAAUCGUCUCCUGGCUCUACCCAAAGCAAGAACACGAGCAAAGGAAACGACCAUCAACCACAUGCAAUGCGCAAGCAACAUGAUGCAUAAACAUGGCAUGAUAUGCGGGAUGUGAUAUGCAAUGCAUAUGCGUGCUUCGGAAGGGAAAGAUUGAACCAGGCCUCAACUUGGCAAACCAAGAGUGCCACUGGAAAGAUGAGUUGAUUUCAGUCGAAAUCGAUAUAAUGCCAUCUAGAAUGCAACAAGAAACUAAGCUACUCCACUCCAACAUAGCAACAAAGCACAUGGCAGUGAUCCACUCAGGAUAUUUGACAAAAGAUGAACACAGAGCUACGGCUAAAUCACACAAGAGCAGGUUCAAACAAGCAUGGCAAAAGUGCAAAAGAUAUCAGGUUCACAGACUUAGUGAAAAUAACAUGUCAGGAAUUAACAUCAGGAAGCAAUGUUUAGAGCAAGAUAACAACAUGCUACAGGAACAUAUCAUGGCAAAGCAAAGCAUGGCAUGGAACUACUCAAAGCAUAUAACAAAAGUCCCUUACUGACCAUGAGCCAAAAAGGAUCAGAAGAUAUGAUGGCACCCAUGUAAACAUAGCAAGUUUCGUUAACAAAUUCAGACUUAGCAGAAAAAUUGGACAUGGCAAAAACAGAGUUACGUAGGCAUGUUUGCGGGCUCGAUGCACUCACCGCAAGGCAUUGCAUGACAAACUAAGCAAACACCCAGCAAGAAGACAUGUUAAAGUAGCUAUCCUUGGCAAGAAUAAUCUCAUAGCAUGCAUGGAUCAACUACAACAACCUUGGCAAAAUUGAAUAACAUGUAAAAAAUCUGCCAGGAACAUUUUAUAGCAAAAGUAGAGCAAGAUUGAGUCAUGCUAGGGUACUCCAUAACUUCGAACAAAGAUAUGGAUGGAUAGAAUAUAACAAUAUCUCAAAAUCAUCCUUACUGAACAUGCUCAAAAGAGGCAUGGAUCACUCUGUAGCAACAUGAAUACAUGGCAUAAAAAUAACAUCAGGGAAAUGACUUAGAAGAAUUCUAAGUCCCUGAAAUCAGCAACAUCACGAGAGCUACUUUGCAUGCUUGUGCUAGUCAACACAAUGAUCACAAAAAUACAUGGCAUACACCCCUGUAAAGAUGGCAUGGCAUAUAACAAAACACAUGUAGAGCUCAUACUCAUAUGCCGCACACAUUAAUCAUGGCAAAAAUGACAAAUGUCCAUAAUCUGUUAAGAAACAGAAACUAACAUUACAUAGCACUCUUGCAACCGCAUUUAGGGCAUCAAGAUGGACUCAAAUGAACAUGGUGCAAUGGAAUGAAAUGAAGAGGACAACCAGACGAACAAUUUGAUAUAUUGCACGCACGAAAUGGAGCUACUUUUGCGGAGUUAUGAUGCGAUGAAGAUGGCCUGAAAAACUUACAGAUCUGGGACUUGGUGGAAUUUUACCUCCGCGAAAGUCAAUGCGGGACGGAGGGAUCCGGAGAAGCGGUGUUGUUUGGUUCAGGCACCCGGUGGAUCUGAUCCACCCAGGCCAGAUCUAGCCGGUGUGAACUCCGGCGACGUGGGCGGUUCUGGCGAGGUGAAACUCCGGCGACGCGGGCGGCGGAGGGCGGCGCGGAGCCCGGUGACAUGGGGCGGCAGCGCAGCAAGCAGGCGGAGCAAGGAGGAGCUUUGGCGGGGCGCUGGCAGAGGGGUUCAGCCAGGGGUAGAGCAUGGCGAGCUCGGCCAUGGCAGGCGCGAGCCUGGCAGAGCGGCGGAGCAUGGCGCGGUUGUGGCGCAUGCGGUCGGCGGGUGGCGGGAGGCGAUGACCGGCGCUGGAGGCGGCGGGAGCACGUGGGCGGCGCGGCUCGUCGGAGUUCGCCGAGUUCCGGCGAGUGAGAGCGGGUGGCAUGGAAGCCGAGGCGGCGGCGGGGAACUCCGGCAAGGUGCCGGCGAAGAUCCGGCGAGGCGGCGAGGCGCGGGCCUCCUCGGGCCAGGCGCGGGUGUGUCGACGUGUCACGCUGUGAGUGGAGGAGAGCGGCGGCGGGGUGACGUGUCGCGCUCCCAUUGGUCGGAGUGAUGUGGCAGCGGAGUGGACGCGUCCGGCGCGGACGGACAUGUCCGGCGGCGCAGAGGGAGUUCGAUCUAGAGUUUGUACCACGAAUUUUGGAAGGAGCCACAUAUAUAUUGGUAGAGGGAGCUAGGAGAGUCCAAAUGAGGUGCGGUUUUCGGCCACGCGAUCAUGAUCGAAUGACCGAGAGGGUGGAGGGGGUUUGGAUGGGUUUUGGGCUACUUUGGAAGGGUGUUAGGAUGCAAAACACACGAGGCCCUUACGGUUCCUCGGUUAACCGUUGGAGUAUCAAACGAAGUCCAAAUGGCACGAAACUUGACAGGCGGUCUACUGGUAGUAUACCAAGGCCGCUUGGCAAAUCUCGGUCCAAUCCGAGAACGUUUAACACCCGCACAUGAAAAGAGGUAAAAGGGGACACCGAAUGACAUAGGAGCGCUGGAUUGCAAAACGGACAAUGAGGAAAAUGCUCGGAUGCAUGAGACAAACAUGUAUGCAAAUGCGAUGCAUAUGAUGACAUGAUAUGAAAUGCAUGACAUGCAAACAAAUGACAAGGCAACAACAGCGAAUAAUUGGAAGACACCUGGCGCAGCGGUCUUGGGGCGUUACAAUUACAAGGUUGACAAAUGGCAAUGUUACUAGAUUAACAAAUGUCAAUCUUUCCAGUUUGACAAAUGGCAACAUACCCGAAAUGACAGAUGCAAAUCUUACCCAAUUGUUUCUACGUGAUUGCACGCUGGUCAUGCAAAACAACCGUUUGUGUUGAAGGGAUUCACAAAUCCUGCACUGCGAGGGAAGACCAUAGCUCUCACUUUGCAUACGGGUGUUCUAUCUAAAACAUUUGCGAUCAAGAGCUGCAGAAAUCCUGCUCGGCACAUUUUCCAUUGGCUUCCUGGGGAAGUUGUCGGUUUGCAUACGAGUGUUCUAACUAAAAUGUUUGCGAUGAGUGUUUUAUAUUUAAAUACCAUUGACGUUUUUUCAAAAGAAAAUUGUUUUAUAAGUCUGUACAUUAAGAGAGAAAAACGCAAGUUCGUUCAAACCAUAUCUUUCAUUCAGUCACACUGCGAAUUUAUAUUCAUGAUCGAGAAUUCGAGAUACAGUAUUAAACCCCAGAAAAACUAUUUCCGGUGGUGGCGGAGGUGGCGUGCCGUGCCGUCAUUGUCGUUGUCAUCCUCCGGGACGCCAUUGUUGAAGUCCUCAGGGCAGCACAAAAUGUUCUUCACACGUAAAUCAAACAUCAUGUCAUCGCGCGAUCGACGGGUGGGGCGCGGGACGACGGCAACUAGCGCCGCUGAGAGGUCGCGGUCGACGGCAGCGUCCCAUGCCACUGAGGGGGCGUGCACACGGGCACAGGCACGGGCCUGGCGGGUGCAGCCAAACGCACAGGGAUUGGCACCGCAGUGGGUGGAGGGGCGCGCACGCGCAGGGGCACGGGCGCGGCGGGUGUAGCCAAAUGCACGGGGGCCGGCGCCACGGUGGAUGGAGGGGCGCGCACCGGCACGGGCACGGGCAUGGGCGCUGGCACUGGCAUGUACAUGAGCUUGCGCAGGUCUGCGAAGACCUCGCUGGCGCCCGCGGCUUCCAGCUCUGCAAUAGUGGUCGGAGACCAGCCCGUUAAUGCUACGGGGAUGGUCGCUGGAGCGGGCGCGGGGGUAGCAACCUUCGCGUCUAGCUCGUUCUAGGCCAUGUCCAUGAGGCCCCAUUCCUCCUUAUUUUAUAUCUCCUCCGCCUUGGAGUCGACUUCACCAUACUUGAAGACUAGUGGCAGAUGAUCAUUAUGCGCCAUGGCGUUGGUGGAGGUCUGCGGGAGGGAGGGGAAUGGGAGGCGAAUAGUAAGGCCGCCCGUAUUAAAUAGCGGCUCGGGCACCAUUAAUGGAGAGGAAGGCGAGCGGCCAUGGAAUUCAAAGGGCUCGCUUCCCAGUGAGACUACGCAGCGUACAGCUCGCACGCUUACCAGUGAGCCUACGCAUUGGAGGACGGCUUGCACGCUCUGGGUCAGCCUGCGCAUCGGACACCGCUCGCAUGCCUCCCGUUUAGUCAAGGUCAAGCAGAUGUCGACACGGCACCUCCUAUAGCCAUUAAAACAAAGACACGUGGCGUCACGUGAAUGGAUAACAAAAUGCACACGAUUCGAAUUAUACAACCGUUUGAGAUAUUAAAGUGGCAGCUAUUUUUUCAAAAUGCCUUUGUUGGCUAUUAUUCGAGUGCACCUUCUCUCAAAAUGGACAUGAAAAAUACAACAGCAUGUCGGUUUCCAUUCCAUGAAAGCAUGCCAAGUUUCAUGAAUUUCAGACGAGUUUUGGAUUUACUAGAAUUUAAAAACAAAGUAUCUCAACAUUUUGCCGGCAAUCAACGGUGCCCUGGUGUUUGAAAUUCAUUCCCAUUUCUUGCAUGGGACCUAAGCACGCACCCAAGGACACAAAUUUGUUUUUUCAACCAAUUUAUAUGCAUUAGAGCAUGUGCUUGUAGUUCAAAUUUGAAUUAUGCACAUAAAUGCGUUGAAAACUCAAUUAAUGCAUAAAAAUGUCCAAACGAACCCCGGAAAAUCCCAAAAAUUAACACAACACUCCUGUUGUUCUAUGUUGAAACGAGAAAAUUUUAAAAGAAAUAAGAGGCAAUGGAUAUCGCUUCGUCCCCAAAGGUGGGACGUUCCCUACAGAAACCAUCACGCUUUUUGUGAGAAGAUCUAGUUUGUGAGAAGCAUAUCCCCAAACCUGCCCCAAAUGGAACAAAACAUUUACCACGACAUGUUGAUACCGCUCCAUGAUAGCAUGCCAAGUUUCAUAAAUUUUAGACGAGCUUUGGAUUUACUAGAAUUUAAAAACCAGGUAUCUCAAUGUUUGUGGUCGAGUGACUGUGGCAGGGUAUUUGACAUUCAUUCCCAUUUCUUGCAUGGGACCUAAGCACGCACCCAAGGACACAUAUUUGAUUUUUCAACAAAUUUAUAUGCAUUAGAGCAUGUGCAUGUAGUUCAAAUUCGAAUUAUGCACAUAAAUGCAUUGAAAACUCAAUUGAUGCAUAAAAUGUCCAAACGAACCCCAAAAAAUCCCAAAAAAUCCUAAAAAUUGACACAACACUCCUAUUGUUCUAUGUUGACACGAGAAAAAAAUUGAUAGAAAUAAGAGGCAACGGAUAUCAUUUCGUCCCCAAAGGUGGGACGUUCCCUACCGAAACCAUCAAGCUUGUUGUGAGAAGCUCUGGUUUGUGAGAAGCAUGUCCCCAAACCUGCCCCAAAUGGGGGAAAAUUUACCACGGCAUGUUGAUGUCGCUCCAUGAUAGCAUGCCAUGUUUCAUGAUUUCAGAUGAGCUUUGGAUUACUAGAAUUUAAAAACCAGGUAUCUCAGUGUUUGCGGCCGAGUGACCGUGGCAGGGUAUUUGACAUGCAUUUACCAUUUCUUGCAUGGGACCUAAGCAUGCAACCAAGGGCACAAAUUUGAAUUCUCAACCCAAUAUAUAUGCAUUAGAGCAUGUGCAUGUAGUUCAAAUUUGAAGUAUGCACAUAAAUGCAUUGAAAACUCAAUUAAUGCAUAAAAUGUCCAAACGAAGAACACAAUCAUUCAAAGUGAAUGGUCUGGGGGCACCGCGCGCAAAGUUUCCCUCCACAUUUCCAAAACUUUGGCCUACCGCCAAAUAUCUACCCCCGCCCAUCGCCCUUCCCCACCGCCUUUUCUCCCCGACCACAAGUCACAUUUCCCCUGUUUCCUCCUUCCUUCCUUCCUAAGCUAUAGCCGCUUCCUCGCUCUCGCCGUCUCGCAUCCUACCACCGGGGUCGCCAUGGUAUUGUUCAAACACCUCUCCAGCGGUUCCUCCUCCGGGGAUGACUCCUUCACCACUCUGGUAUGCCUCUCUUCUCUCUCUCUCUCUGGCUAUGACAUGCAACGAAUGAUUUUUAACCGGCAGACGAUUUUAGUCAUUUCUUCCUCUUGUAGAUCCCUAGGACCAUCAGUGGCAACGAAUGGAGUGGGGUGGCUGAAGAUCUAUCUGCUCGUUGUCACCAUCAGUCUCCAUGUGUGAAGCUAGUUGUGUUUGAAUCUGUGGAUAGUGGGAGGAAGUUUCUGGCAUGUGCAGAGAAGGUUAGACCCUCUUUGAAUGUUACAAAUCAUUUGUUAGAUGUGAUUCAGACACUAUCACGGUCCCAACCCAUUCAUACCACACCUUCAACCAAACGCAUCCUAAGACAGUGUCACGGUUUGUACCUAGUAUCUUAAAUUGUUGCCAUCUCAUCAGUGAUGCCAUUAGAAAAUUAUUUGGCACCGCUUCAGCAGUUUGUGCAGCCAACUUUGGUCCACACAUCUGAGCAGCCAAGCAGUAAAAUACUAAAUCAUUAUGGCACGAAGGAACUGGGCAUGGGAGCAACUACGUGCUCCGUAGUCUGGGUCCCUGAUUUUUUUCCACUACAUCAGCUCACCACUGCAGGGCACCGGUGCGAGAUGUAGCAGCAGUUGUCUUUACCCUAGUUUUGGCAUACAUAGUGGACGGUCUUAGUGCUAUUUGUUAUAUGUUACUAAAUUUGUGUAUGUACACACCUGUUAGUAUCAAUUUACUGUCAUCCAUGCACUAUCGCUAUGUUGUUGUAGUUAUUUUACCUUCCUCAUAAAAUGUUCAAUUUUUUAUUUAUUGUACAUGAGUAAGAACUUGUAGCGUUAUUGUAGUUAAUUAUAGCUUCUGAUGUUCCACAUUUUGGUUGUUGUCUCAGUAGCAAUUAAUUCAUUUGCACAUUGAUCUUUUUGAGGAGAUAUGUCAUAAUUAACAUGAUUCUUCAGUUUUAAAAAUAAGCAUUGGUGAUUUUCUAUGUUACUAUAAACCCAUUUCCCCUACAAUUGUUACUGAUCUAGUUUUAAAUAUUAUAGGAUGAAAGAAAGUGUUCUUACCUGGAGUGGGUUGAUCAAGAGUGGCCACAAUCUUUGAAGAUGUGCCUAGCGAAGCUCUGGAGCAUGUAUGAGGAAGAGAAUGGAUGUAGGCUUAGAGAAACUGUUGUCAACGCUGAAGAAUAUUUGAAGAUGCGGAAUUAAAAGAGGAAGGUGGAGUAUGAGCUCAGACUUUUAAAAUCAGACUUUGCUAAGAUGGUGUUGGCAAAGGAGGAGGCACUUUCCUAGUUGGCCAGUGCAAAACAGGUUCUUACUGAACUGAAAGUAGAGGUGGAUAAGACGAGCGUGGAUGAUCUCAAUUAGGGAAAUGAUUAUAUUGUUCUUAUGAAGUAGCUAUAUGUUGUAUUGUGCUGUUUUCAUGUAGCUAUCGUACUAUGAUGUUAUAAUAUAUUUAUGUGUCUGAUAUGAAAUUGGCAAACAGUUGUUCGAUAUGAAAUGUGAAUUUGUGUAAUACGGAAAUUAUUAAUUGUAAACUAAUAAACCUGCUAAAUGUGUCAUGGACCUUCGCAAACGGUUCUAGCAAUAAAAGCGCUUGCGAUGGAUAGCCUAGUGCCACAUAGUUUUCUUCAUCAAAUAGUGUGUGAUGUAGUUGAUAAAAGCAAAUAGUUACACCUUUCACAGACGAUCCAACACAUAAAACUGUGUGCGAUGAACAUACGAACGGAAACGUUUUUCCUGGAUUAACUGUGUGGGAUGUACAUAAGAACGGAAACGUAUUCCUUGGAUUGACUGUGCGUGAUAUACAUACCUACAGAAAUGUUUUUUUGGGAUUCACCGUGUGGGAUGUACAUACCUACGGAAAUGUUUUUCUGGGAUUCACCAUGUGGGAUGUACAUACCUAUGGAAAUUUUUUUCUAGGAUUCAUCAUGUCGGAUGUACUUACCUACGGAAAUGAUUGGGGUUCGAUGCCUCGCCCGAUAACACACGGCCCUAGCCUGUGUCCCAGGAGGGCCUAUCCCCAACGAUUUCUAGGUCGUGUGGGAAGGACCCCCCUAUCGCCCACACUCACUUGGCGAUGGUUCCAAAUGUUGUCGCGGAAAGGGGUUAAAAACCGUUUGUAUAGAACUGAAGUGUAUUAGUGUACCAGGCAUGCCACCAGACCGAAACAUAGAGAUUAUGAUCGAGUUGUUGCCAGGCACCGGACCAAUAUCCAAGAGAACAUAUCAGAUGCCCACGAAUGAUCUUGAGGAAAUUAAGAAGCAGAUUAAGGAGUUAUUGGAGAAAGGUUAUAUCCGACCAAGUUCAUCACCUUGGGGAGCCCCAGUGCUUCUAAUUGAGAAGAAGGAUGGAUCCUUGGGAAUGGUUGUUGAUUAUCGCGCGUUGAAUGAGGUGACGAUCAAGAAAAAAUAUCCUCUACUGAUGAACAAUGAUUUGUUUGACCAGUUGCAGGGAGCUAAGGUUUUCUCCAAGAUCGAUCUCCGAUCAGGAUAUCACCAGCUGAAGAUUCGAGAACAUGAUAUACCUAAGAGAGCUUUUACAACAAGGUAUGGGCUAUAUGAGUACACGGUCAUAUCUUUUGGUUUGACUCACGCCCAUGCCUACUUUAUGAGCAUGAUGAAUAAGGUGUUCAUGGAGUUCCUGGAUAAGUUUGUUGUGGUGUUCAUUGAUGAUAUGUUGGUUUACUCGAAGACUGAAGAACAACACAAGGAACAUUUGCGUUUGGUUCUCGAGAAACUCAGGGAACAUCAGUUGUAUGCCAAUUUCAGCAAAUGCGAGUUUUGGUUGAAGGAAUUCGGAUUUCUCGGACAUGUUAUAUCGGGAGAAGGAAUAGCAGUAGACCCUUCCAAGGUCAAAUUUGUCACCGAAUGGAUGGCACCCACCUCAGUUGGAGAAAUACGCAGUUUCCUUGGACUUGUAGGAUAUUAUCGGAGACUUAUUGAGAAUUUCUCCAAGAUCCUGAAGCCCAUGACAGAGUUAUUGGAGAAGGACACCAAGUUUAAUUGGACCAUAUGCUAAUUUUCAGGCUAGUUUUCAGGAGUUGAAGAAACGUUUGGUUACAGCCCCAGUGCUAAUUUUUCCAACCAUACGCAAGGAUUUCCAAGUAUAUUGCGACGCUUCUCGUCAAGGACUUGGAGGAAUUCUUAUGCAAGAAGGAAGAGUUGUUUCAUAUGCCUCACGGAAGCUUCCACCUCAUGAGUUGAAUUAUGCCACGCAUGAUUUGGAGCUAGCAGCCGUAGUGCAUGCGCUCAAGACCUGGAGAUAUUUUUAUCGGAAAUCGUUGUGAUGUUUAAACGGAUCAUAAGAGUUUGAAGUACAUCUUCACGCAGAAGGAGUUGAACCUCAGGCAGAGAAAAUGGUUGGAGCUCAUAAAGGAUUAUGACAUGAUACUGCAUUAUCACCCAAGAAAGGCCAAUGUCGUGGCAGAUGCUUUGAGCCGCAAGAGUUAUGCUAAUACUCUCAUAUCCAGAGGAUUACCUAAGGAGUUAGCCGAUUAUCUCCGAGAACUCCGCUUGGAGAUAGUUCCGAGAGGUUUUGUUGCAGCAUUGGAUAUUUAGUCCACUUUGUUGGGAAGGAUUCGAGAAGCCUAGAAGACGAACAAGGAAAUUGUGGAGACAAAAGAAAGUAUGAGUAACGGAAAGGCUAAAGGUUUUCAUGAGGAUGAACACGGAACUUUAUGGUUUGAGGAUCGUAUCUAUGUGCCUGAUGACCCAGAGAUCAGGAAGUUAAUUCUUCAGGAGGCUCAUGAUUCGCCUUACUCGAUUCACCCAGGCAACACCAAGAUGUAUUUGGACUUGAAGGAAUGUUUCUGGUGGAUAGGUAUGAAGAAGGAUAUCGCCCAGUAUGUAGCAGUAUGCGACGUAUGUCAGAGAGUUAAGGCAGAGCAUCAGAAACUAGCAGGAUUACUUCAACCUUUGCUAAUACUCGAAUGGAAGUGGGAUAAGCUUGGCAUGGAUUUCAUCACCGGAUUACCCAAGACUCAUUCAGGAUAUGACUCCAUCUGGGUUGCAGUUGAUCGCUUGACCAAGGUGGCCCACUUUAUCCCCGUGAAAACCACCUAUGCGGGCGCUAAGUUGGCCAAGAUAUAUAUGACCAGGAUCGUAUGUCUGCAUGGAGUUCCGAGGACCAUCGUAUCAGAUAGAGGAACAUAGUUUACUUUGAAGUUUUGGAAUCAGUUACAUCAAAUUUUGGGUACCAGGCUAGAGUUCAGUACAACCUUUCAUCUGCAGACAGAUGGGAGGACCAAGAGAAUCAACCAGAUUCUGGGGGACAUGUUGAGAGCUUGUGCACUAGAUUAUGGAUCUAGUUGGCAUGAUAAUUUUCCUUACGCUGAGUUCUCAUAUAACAACAGCUACCAAGCUAGUUUGAAGAUGGCCCCUUUCAAAGCUUUGUAUGGAAGGAGGUGCAGGACACCAUUAAUCUGGGAUGAAGUUGGAGAUCGACAGUUGUUCGGACCAGAUUUAAUCAGAGAUUCUGAGGAGAAGGUCAAGUUGAUCCGUGAUAGACCCAAGAUAGCCUAGUCUAGGUAGAAGAGUUGUGCCGAUACUAAACGCAAGGAGGUAACUUAUGAAGUCAGAGAUAGAGCAUAUAUUCGUGUGUCGCCACUUCAAGGAGUUAAACAGUUUGGAGUCAAAGCAAAGUUAGCGCCACGAUUUGGGGGACCAUACCGAGUCUUGGAACGUAUGGGUGAGGUUGCCUACAAGUUGGAAUUACUCGAAGGUUUGUCAGGAGUUCAUGAUGUGUUUCACAUUUCCCAGUUGAAGAAGUGCCAUGUAGAGAUGGCCGAUAUUCCUCUAAGAGAUACAGUUCCCCUAGAAGCAAUUCAGUUGGAGAGUGACCAACCUUAUAAGGAGAAACCCGUCAAGAUUCUCGAGUUUGCAAACCGAGUUACUCGCAGCAAGGUCAUCAACUUUUGCAAAGUUAAGUGGAGUCACCAUACCGAGGAGGAAGCAACCUGGGAACGAGAAGAAGACCUCCAGAAGGACCACCCACACCUUUUUGCUAGCCAAGACGAAUCUCGAGGGUGAGAUUCAUCUUAAUGGGGGUAGGUUUGUAACAUCCUAAUUUUCAAUUUGGAUGUUAUUAUUUAGAUCAUUCAUAUGCAUCCAUGAUUAUUCAUUUUUUUCUCAUUUGUUUUUAUUUGAAUUUUGAUCCUAGAAACCUUAAGCAACUCAAGGACCAAUUGAGAGAGUUGGAGGUUUCCCGAAAAUCUAGUUUUGAAUUUUCAAAAUUUGGAAAAUUGGAUCAAAUUGAUUUAUUCAAAAAUUCUUUUUGAAUUAUUCAAAUAAAUAAAAUAAAGAGAGGAAAUAAAAGGACUUCUUCAAAAACAGCAAAGAAACAUUGGAAAUUGAAUUUUGGAAUAUUUUUAUUUUGAUUAUCUAUUUUUAUUGUGGAGUUUAUUAAUACUAAAAAUUGUUUUCAAAAUUUUUCAUUUAGGUCUAGAAAAAUGUUCACGUGAGCCCAUAUAUUUAGGAGGGAAUUAUCAGAAUUUUUAAAAUUUUAUUUAUUAUAGUUUUCAUGUUUCUUCUUAUUUCUGGAAAAUGUUUUUUAUAAAAAAAUUGUUCGGGCCAACCGAACUGGGCCGCGCCCAGCCCUGCCGGCCCAGCGUGCCGCGCCGCCCGUCCUCGAGCUCGGGCCGGAGUCCCGAGCGAUCCCGAUGUCGCCGCUGUGUCCAAUCGGAGUCCCUCCCGUCGCCGACCUCGCCUUGCCCCUCCCGCAAGUCGCCCUGCCCCCUCCCUCCUUUAAAUACCUGGCCCCAACCCCCUCUUCUCUCCCCAAUAGAAGCAGAAGCCGCAGUAGCCGCACCGCCGCCGCCGCAAGCCACCAUCUCGCGCCUUAGUAGCCUUGCCGCCCCGCGCCGCAGCAGCCACCGCCGCCGGAGCAGCAGUCCCAGUCUGAAACCGUCGCUGCCGCUUUCCCCGCAGCCGACGACCAUGCCGCCGUGGUAACGCCUCACCUCCUCCCGUCCGUCCGAUCUUCAUCCAAGGGCCCAGAUUAGAUCGCGCUUUUAUUUUUUUACUCGAAACAUUUUGUUUAAUUAGUGAACAUUCGUUAGUUUAGGUUCUGUAGCGAACGUAUUCAUUAGAUUAGGUUCUGUAGCCAACAUUCGUUUGAUAGAUUUUUUUUCUUUUUCUUUUAUUUUUCUGCCAGGGACCUAUUCGCUAGAUUUUUCUUACAGUUUAGUCCCUGCUUUUCAAUCUAUCACAACAUUUUACUCGUUUGUCAAAAUUCGAUGAAACCAACGCCAAAUUAUUUGUCGGGAUCCCUUCUAUCUAGAUAACCAACUUAAUAGUAUUUUUGAAAGUUUUAAAUUUUGAAUUCAAACAGAUUUGAAUUUGAACUUCUUUUCAUCAUAACUUGAGUUUUGUAACUCUAAUUUGGUUGAUUCUUUUUGCAAAUCGAAGCACUUGACCUAAGCUUUCCGUUAAGACCUAAUUCACAUAAUUUAGGUGUUGUUAGUAAUUGUUUUAUGUUUGAAAGAGUUAUUUGCUAAUUCUUUUGAGUUUUUCUGAAUCUUUUUCUUUGGUUUUCUUGGCAUAUUCAUGCUUGGGUGCUUAUGUAUGUUAUUGUUUGUCUAUGAUAGAUUUUCCGGAGCGUGAAGCUUGCUACCACGAAUCUCUAGGGUUUACCGAUUGUUAGCAAGGCAAUUUACACUUUGAUCAUACUUUUCUAUACCUAGUUUUUACUAUGCAUUAGUUCACCCUUACAAAUUUGCAUGAGUAGGAUUGGGAAUUGGGCUUUGCUAUGUAGUUCAUGAGGUAGGAACCUAUUACCUUUGAUCACCCUGGGAAUAUUCGUUAUGCUCAUAUAUUUCUUUGCCAUGCUUGUAGACGGGGAUUGGUAUGUUUGAAUCAUGCAAGUUGUGAGUGUUAAUAAUUAAGGAUAACUGAAGGUGGCAACUUUAAUACACAUCUGGGUGGAGUGGUUGCAGGCACCUGGGGAAUCCAGUGUUGUCCUAGGAGAUCCCGGAGUACCUGUGUGAUCAUCCUAUGGUAUGCCACCCACGCUCAGUGGGAUCAUAUAAUUAUUCAUGUCUAGAAACUUCUGUGUGCACCCAGAAGCAAUUAUGGGCUCUGGCAUAAUUGAGUAAGUUGUGUGACCUCUUUCAGUGGUGGACUAGCAUAUGUAGGGGAAAGUAGGUGUAUCGAUCUACCUAGUGUAAAGAGUUAAUGCUUCAGAAAGACUGUGUCUCAAUAUUCUGAUCAUGGAGGUGGUCGAGUCUUGUGGGGAAAAGUGUGCAACCUCUGCAGAGUGUACAAAAUAAUCAUGAUUAGUCCUGUCCCCGGUUAUGGACAUCUUGAGUAUCUAGAAGUGAAUUAUUUGUUGAUCUCAUCAUUCUGUCUAAUGAAAUUGUUGGGUUAACAUUUUAUACUUGGUAAUUUGGGAUUGAGUUGGAGGAACCUUCUCAAUAUGGGUAAUUUAACUUGGUAGAAAAUGCAAUUUAUUCCUUUGUUGUAGGGGAAAAUAGCUUUAUGCAAAAUUAAACUUAGAGCCUCCACCAGCCAAAUAUGCAUGUAGUGAUAGUUAUUAUUCAUCAUUGCUCUAUAGUGUGAUCUUGCCAGCAUAUUCCAUGUGCUGGCCUACACGGCUGCAACGUCUCAUGUUGCAGAAUUUUCAGACGAGGAUUAAGGUGAGAUAGGUCGUUGUCGUGCACUCAGUUUUGUCGUGGAGUUGGAUGGACUCAUUUAUCUUUGAAGCUUCCGCAGUUAUUUUAUUUAGUUCGCCUUCAGCCAUAUUUAUGUAAUAAAUACUCUUUAUGAGGACCUCGAUGUAAUAAGUCUGUGACUGAACUCUGUUAUAAAUCCUCGAGUAUUGUGUGUGUCAGCAUUACCGAUCCAGAGAUGACACUUAAGCACAGAGACUUCGAUCCAUUGGGAUCGGGUCGCUACAGUGACGCAAGGUAGAAUAAAGAGCAUUCAUUUUCCUGCAAUCCAGUACUUCGCUUUAUUUAAUGGGAAAUGUAUUGUAGGCAAACAAGAUUGUAGUACACUUUGUGCUCCAGAAUUGAGCCUCGUACACACCGCUCUCACCGAUGAUAGGAGUUAUAAUCUUCGAGCGAUUGUUGCACGCAGGUUGCAACACAACACUAAUAGUGGCUAUUUCUAUGGUGGAAUUUAUGCCACGUGUUUAGCAAGAGAGCUGGGUGUUUCACCUUGGCCCUAUGACCCUAUUGUACCCAUGCAGUACUUAGACUUUGAUGCUAUGAAACAUCAUAAGAUCCUUAAAGGUGAACCUCAUAAUUUCACUUACAAACUAUUGUUUAACCAAGAAUCCGUUGUGCACACAUAUUUUCAUGCGCCUGCUCUUUUGAUUAUCAUAGCAAGGGAAGAUAUUUUGUUCUUGAGAGCGAGGCUCGAGCCCACAAUGCGGCUAUUCAGGUGGCACGGCAGGCCGAGGCAUCUGCACUGAGAGCCUCCGUGAGCUACCACUCCGACUACUAUCCAGGCUAUUAACUGCUUACCAAGUUAUGCCAAGAGCUUAAGCUUGGGGGAGUACGUAUAUCCAUUGACAUUACAUUCAUGUUCACACAUUUAGUUCCAGUUGUCGGUGUCCACACUUUUUCAUUGUAUCAUCCAUGUUAAAUUUAUUUUCUCGCUUUCUUCUUGUGUGUUUGAAAAACUUCGAGAAAAUUCAAAAAUAUUUCUUGCUUCUUUUUUAUUUUUCUUUCUAGAGUAGUUAGUUGUAGAACUUAAAGUUUAAACCCAAAAAGAUUGCCUUGUUCUUCUUUUGCUUGUUGGAAGCUUUCCCGUGUAAAUAUUUUUUCUUGUUUUUGCUUUUCCCUUUUAUUUGCUUGUUCAAGAAAACCAAAAACUCCAAAAUAUUUCAGUGUGUUUCUUUGAGUUUCUUUUCUUUUUAUCUGAGUCAUACCGAGGAGAAGACCAUGAUGAAAACGUUGAGUGGAUCUCAUAUGCAUAAUUUUUUAUAUAACAAAGAGCCCAUAUUACCUUGGCUUCUCCUGUUGAAUAAAAUGUUUGUAGAUUCCAUCUUAGUCCAUGACACUCUUGCACAAUUAUUAUUUUCAUAUCGUUCGGUCGUGCAAGUGAAAGCCAAUAAUGAUGAUAUUCGAUGAACUGGCCAUGGCAGAGAGAAACGGGUAUGAACUCAACUUCUUCUGUUUUUGUAAAUAGGUUUAACCUAGUAUCCAUGCUUCAACCCAUUAUGAUCAAACAAGUUUGCAAUGCUAAUUAGAUAUUAUAGUUUCUCAUGCCAUGCAUAAGUAGCUAGGAGUAGAUACUGAUUUAUCUUGGAUAUCAACAUUAUGUUAUAAUGAUUGUGAUGUGGUAUGAUGAUAUGGUAUCCUCCUCUAAAUGUUCGAGUGGCUUGACUUGGUACAUGUUCAUGCAUGUAAUUGAAUCAAAACCAACAUAGCCUCUAUGAUAUUUUUGUUCAUGGUGUUCAUAUCCUACUCAUGCUAGUGUCCAAUGUUACUUAUGCAUAAUGCAUGUUCAUGACCGUUGUUGCUCUCUAGCUUGCAGCUUCUCAACCUAUUUGCUAGCCGCUGCAUGUACUAAGUGGGAAUUAUUCUUGUACAUCAAAAACCUUGAACCCAAGUUAUUCCAGAUGAGUCCACCAUACCUACCUAUAUGAGGUAUUACCCUGCCGUCCUAAGUAAAUUUGCAUGUGCCACCUCUAAAAACUUCAAAUAAAUAUCCUUUUUGUGUGCCUAGAUCGUUCAAGGAGCGAUAGGUGGUGGUCGGUAUCUUCCAUUCUAAGCGGGUUAUUCUCAGGUUGAGUUUUUAUUCACUUGCCAUUGCAUGAGAAAAGGGCGGUAAUAGGGAUUCCCAAUCCUGAACUCAAAAUGCAAAUAAUUAAACAAAACACCCCCGGGACUGUUGUUGGUAUGGACGGCACCCAUUGUUUCGGACAAGUCGUGGAGUGUGAUUGUUGGUGGAGGGGGAGUAAACAUUUACUUUUAUCGCUUGGGAACCACCACUAGCAUGCUUAGCAUGGAAGAUAUUGAUAACUGGUGGUCGUGAAGUAAACAAGAAGGGUGCAUGUCUCAAAAUAUCAUUUACCUCUGUUUUAAAAACUUGAGCUCUGGCACCACUGCAAAUCACAGCUUCCCUCUGCGAAGGGACUAUCUAGUUACUUUUAUGUUGUGUCAUCACCUUCUAAAAUAAGCGCCAGAACCUGAGAGCACUGUUGUCAUGUUGAUGCAUUGUCUGUAGCUAAUGUUGGGUGCAUCCUGACUGGAUCUUUUCUACCAUGAAUUACAAUGUUUAGUCGUUGCUUGAACUUUGGAGGUGCUUUGCAUUUAUGUUUUCCGGUCUCAGAAAGGGCUAGCGAGAUACCACUAUUGUCAUAUUAUGUCAUGGUUGUUUUGACAACGUGUUGCUAUUUGAGAUAUCUUAUUAUCGCUCGCUAGCUGAUUAUGUCAUUAAUAUGAGUUAAUAUAAUUUUUAAGAGUUAUUGUCAACAUGGUUAGUUAUAAUGUUGGCUGAAAACCUGGGUGAUGUUUAAGCUUAUUUAUGCAAACUGUAGGAUCGAAAGUAUGUCUAGAGGGGGGGUGAUUAGACUACUUGACCAAAUAAAAAUCUAGACUUUUCCCAAUUUUAGUUCUUGGCAGAUUUUAGCUAUCUUAGCACAAGUCAAGCAAUCUCCACACAAUUCAAGCAAGCAUGCAAAAGAGUAUAUGAGCAGCGGAAAGUAAAGCAUGCAACUUGCAAGAAUGUAAAGGGAAGGGUUUGGAGGAUUCAAACGCAAUUGGAGACACAGAUGUUUUGUCGUGGUUCCGAUAGGUGGUGCUAUCGUACAUCCACGUUGAUGGAGACUUCAACCCACGGAGGGUAACGGUUGCGCGAGUCCACGGAGGGCUCCACCCACGAAGGGUCCAUGAUGAAGCGACCUUGUCUAUUCCAUCACGGUCGUCGCCCACGAAGGACUUGCCUCACUAGCGGUAGAUUUUCAUGAAGUAGGCGAUCUCCUUGCCCUUACAAACUCCUUGGUUCAUCUCCACAAUCUUGUCAGAGGCUCCCAAGUGACACCUAGCCAAUCUAGGAGACACCACUCUCCAAGAAGUAACAAAUGGUGUGUUGAUGAUGAACUCCUUGCUCUUGUGCUUCAAAUGAUAGUCUCCCCAACACUCAACUCUCUCUCAUAGGAUUUGGAUUUGGUGGAAAGAAGACUUGAGUGGAAAGCAACUUGGGGAAGGCUAGAGAUCAAGAUUCAUAUGGUUGGAAUGGAAUAUAUUGACCUCAACACAAGUGUAGGUGGUUCUCUCUCAGAAAAUGUGUAUUGGAAGUGUAGGUAUGUUCUGAUGGCUCUCUCCACGAAUGAAGAGUGGGUGGAGGGGUAUAUAUAGCCUCCACACAAAAUCUAACCGUUACACACAAUUUUCCAAACUCGGUGGGACCGAAUGGUUAAACUAGGUAGGACCGAUUCAGCAAACCGAGUGACCGUUAGGAUUUUCGAUGGGACUGAGAUGCAACUCGGUAGGAAUGAUAUGGUUAGGGUUAGGGCAUAAUGUAAUCUCGGUGUGACCGAUUACACAAACUCGGUGGGACCGAUUUUGGUAAUAAGCUAACCAGAGAGUUGGUCAGGUAAACUCAUUGGGACCGAUUCGCUCAUCUCGGUGAGACCGAAAUGUUACAAAAGGGAAACAGAGAGUUUACAUUGCAAUCUCGAUGGGACCGAUCGCUCAUCUCGGUAAGACCGAAACGUUACGAAGGGUAACAGAGAGAUUACAAUCCCAUCUCGGUGAGACCAAGAUCCCUAUCGGUGAUACCAAUUUGCCUAGGGUUUGUAGCAGUGGCUAUGACAUUUGAAACUCGGUGGCGCCGGAUAGAAUGAAUUGGUGGGGCCGAGUUUGACUUUUGGUUUAGGUCAUAUGUGGAUGUGGGAGGGUAGUUGAGGAUUUUGGAGCAUAUCACUAAGCACUUUGAGCAAGCAAGCCAUUAAGCAACACCUCAUCCCUCCUUGAUAGUAUUGGCUUUUCCUAUAGACUCAAUGUGAUCUUGGAUCACUAAAAUAUAAAAUAUAGAGUCUUGAGCUUCAAGCUUGAGCCAAACUUUAUGUCCUUAGAAUUUUGAGGGAUCCACUUUCCUCAUCCAUGCCAUGCCAUUCAUUGAGCUUUUCCUGAAAUAUUAAUCUUGGAAUAAUGUUAGCUCAAUGAGCUAUAUGUUCUUAGCAAUUACCAAAACCACCCAGGGAUAGUUGUACUUUCAAUCUCCCCCUUUUUGGUAAUUGAUGACAACAUAUAGAUCAAAGCUUCGACAAAUGAUAAUAAGAGUGAAAGAUAUUGUCGCUUUGAGAAGUAUGUGAAAAUCAAGAGCUCCCCCUAAAUUUGUGCAUAUCUUUAGAUUUGCUUUGGACUGCAAAUGCACAAUGAGUUAGGAUCAUGGGUUACUCUUCCAUGUCACAUACAUCUUGGUGGAGCGCUCAAAAUGAUAAGAAUUAAAUACAUGCACUCAUCACCAAGCAAAGUGAAUGAUCAUAUAAGGAUAAGUAAGAUAAUAUCAUCUAACAAGCAUAAGUGUAGCUUAUGAUCAACCACAUGAUCAUCAAUGUCUCAUAGAUAAUAGCAUAGUGUCUCUAGCAAUCAAAAGACAAACAAAGUUCAACCACCAAAGCAAGAGAGAACAAAAGCAAACUCUCUCUCUCUCGAAGCCUAUGAUCUAUACAUUUUUCUCCCCAUUUGGCAACAAGUUACCAAAAAGUUCAUAGAAAAUGCAUAGCACUAAAAUGUCUCUCAGGCUUGGUCUUCAGGUGGUGGUGUCCGGAGAACGCCAAGGACGAAGGCUUCACUCGAAGUAGAUGGAGCUGAUGGAGUUGGUGCUGGAGCUGGUUGCGCUGGAGUUGUAGCUGGUGCAGAUGAAGUGACUCUAGUGUCUGUUACUGGCACUGCAGUUGAUCUCUGAGCUCUAGGCACUCUCGCAAAUGCAUCAGUGGUUGUUCUACCCUUCCUCUCCUGCAUGUCAUCCUGUAGCUGCUCCACAACUGACUGAAUCUCAGUUACUUUGACAUCUAAAUCAUAGAAUUUUUGUUCCAUGAUUCUUUCCAAGAUCUCCUGGUUUUGAGUCAGGGUGGCCAGUCCCUUCUCAAUCCUUAGAGUUGAUGAUAUCAAGUAACCAAGCUGGUCCUGCUUGCUUUUCAAAAAGUACUCAGAUGCCUCCUCUUGAGUUGGCAUCUUGGCAGCCUUCUCUUUCUUUGCUUUCUCCUUUUUCUCUUGAGCUUGUACUGAUGAUGGUUCAUUCUCAUUCAUCACAACUUGAUUGUCCUCAAAGUCAGGAUAGAUAGGCAAGUGUUCCUUAUCCAACAAGUAUGUGCCUGUGCCCAUCUUUGAAUUUAUCAACUCCUGGAUCUGUGGGGCAUAUCCACAACUUCUUUUCUGGUCAGCUGUAGUCCUCUUGAUAGUCUCAACUAUAAGGCUCGUGACCUUGAACUUCUGUGGCACAUCAAAUAUAUGUAGCAAGUUAAUUGCAUGGCCUCCGAUCAUUUUGUGAUCACCAAACUUGGGCAAGAGAGUGUGUCUAAGGAUCCAAUUGAUUGUAGGCAGCCCUGACAGCAAGUGUUUUACUGACCCAAACUGGUGAGUCUCAAGAUCAUCUUCAGGAAUCUCCUUGUACAUGUUUGCCAUAGAGUUGUGAUCUAUCUUCUUCUUGGCAUAGACAUCCAAGUCAUCUUCUUCUUCCUUAGGAGCAUUGAUCAGAUUUUCCCAUUUCUCAAUAGUUGAGUGGUACCUUGUACCUUCAGACAUCCAUACUAUCCUGCCAUCUGGAUAGAAGUGUGUUGUGGAGUAGAAUUGCAUUAUGAGCUCCUCAUUCCACUUUGUGAGCUUCUUCCCAACAAAGUCUGCAACUCCACAAGCACUGAAGCUGUCAAACACACCAGGAUAGUGUUCCUCAUUUUCCUUGAUAUACUUCCAGUCGACCCACCUCAUUUCACACACUAUAGGCUUCUUGUCCAGUAGCACGGUCUCAUAGAAAUCAUGAUGUUCCUUUGUGUGGAACCUGUAAUCAAUAGCAGUUCUUCUUCUUGUAGAAUAUGGGUCUGUCUCUCUCCAUUUCCUCAGUCAUGAGUCUCUCUUGAUCUUCAUGUUCUCAGCCACAGGAUGAGCAUCAUUGUGGUCUGGAAUCUUGGGUUUGAGCUUCCUCAGGACUUGUCCUUCAUCAUCUUCAUCAGCAGCAACUUCGGGCACUAGGGCCUUGUUCUUCUCAGCAGCUAGUAUACUCCUGGUAUUCCUCUUAGGUGCACUCUUGGGCUUGGAGGCUGCUUUGGUUGCUUCUUUGGGCUUUGAUGAAGCAGCCCCUGUCCUGAUAGCAUCACCCAUAAGCUUUUGGGCCUUAGGUGCUGGUGCAGCAACCUCUUCUUCCUCUUCCUCUUCAGAAUCUCUCAUGAUUGAGGAUCUCCCAAGCACUCUAGCAGUGGUCUUUUUGAUCCUCUUCUUCCCUUCUGCAGCAGCCUCUUUGGGUUGAGAUUCCAAAGAUGCUUGAGAGGAGGCUCUGGCUUUAGACAUUGGCUGUCUCCCUGCUGACCUCUUGGUCUUCAGACCUGGCUUGGUUGAAGCAGCUGUGCCAUAUUUCUUCUUAAGCACUUUCUUCUUUGAUGUGGCAUCAUCCUUAGUGGCCACAUAGUCUUCAUCCUCAGACUCUGAAGUUUUCUUCUUCCUUGUUCUGGUGGCAGCUUUGGGCAAGUUGCUUGGGGUGCUCCUGCUACCAUCAUCUAAACUGCUAGAGGGACUAGUGCCCUCACUCAGGUGAACCUGCUCCUUUGACCUGUUCUGGCUGUCACUCUGAUCAGACAUAUUGCAAACACUGACAGCAGACCCUGUGAAUAGAUAUAGAUAAGAUGGAGUGGAUGAGCAUCACAAAAUGCAGAGGUUUUUGCAAAAGAAUGAGUCAAAAACUUAGUUUUAGUUUUCCACAAAAAGCAUUUCGGAUCAAUCGAUUUGUAAACUCGGUGAUACCGAAGCAGCUGUUGGAACCUAAACUAGUGAACUCGGUCAGACCGAGUCACAGUUCGGUGGCACCGAGACUGCUAGGGUUUCACAAAGUCCUGAACUCGGUCACACCGAUUUGCAAUUCUCGGUCAGACUGAAAAUUACAUGUGCAAUGGCCUGAGCCGAAUCGGUGGUACCGAGUUCCACAACUCGGUGGGUCCGAGAUGGUUUUGGCGGAAACCUAACCCUAGAUUUUCAAUUCAACUCUAAUCUACGGAGUGUUUUGACUAGAUAAGAUCGUUUCAAUCGUGGUAAGAAUCAUAAUGAACACAAUGUGCUAUGAAUCGGACGGGGAUAGCACUGUGAUCGAGUCCAUACCCUAGUUCGGCGAUGAACUCGCUACGGCGGCAACGGCGGGGAAGAAUUCUGUUGACGGCGGCGCAGACCAACAACAGGAGGCGGCUGGCGAAGAGGAGGACGAUCCAGAGACCCAGGAGGCAGAGCGAGCUAUGCGCGGGCGAACGGGUUUCGGAGAAAUUUCCAAAAAAUUUCCAGUGAGUAUAUAUAGCCCGACCCUGUCGGUGUGACCGAGUGGAACAACUCGAUGGCACCGAGAUUCAUAACUGCAAGUAGUUGCUGAAACUCGGUGUGACCAAAAGGUUCAAAUCGGUAGCACCGAGAUUGAAAACCUAGAUCGACUUAGUGAUCUCGGUAUGACCGAAAUGGAGGAAUCGGUCAGACCGAAAAGCACAAAGAAGUUUUGUAAGUUUAAGUCUAUGACGAAUCGGGGACUUCGAGUGCUCCUCACACAGAGUGGUUCGAAUCUGACUUGAUCAAAUUUGUGAUGUAGCGUGAAUAGAGUUUGAGACGAGAAAAGCAUAGAUAGCUAGAGAGGGUUCUUAGGCAUUCUUGUCCAUCCACUUGGCAAAAGAAAAGAAAACCAAUCAAUCAAAACAACAAGUGGAUGUCCUUGAAUGAGUAAAAUAUGCAAUCAACAUGCUCACACAAUAAAAUGGCAAUUGAAAUAUGUGGCAGAGCAUGCACAACCAAUUCUAGCAUCUAUCAAACAAUCGGCGAUGACUAGGUCAUCUAUAUAUGAGUAUAUUGACUUAGGCGUCAAAUGAGAACAUUUGAUCAUAGGUCAGACUCAUCGUUUAAGCACAAGUGGGGUUACCACUUUUACAUAAAGCAUUGUUGUGUUCACACCAUUAGAGUUGCUUUAGCUCAAUUCUUAGAGUAAAGCUCCCCCUAGAUGUGAGAUCCCCCCUAAGAGGGAUGAACUAACCUUGGGUUUUGUCGAUGAUGACUUCAUGUAGAUGUUGAAGAUGUGGAUGCUCAAUGUUGAUGUAGAUCAUUUGGAGCUAUCCAUUGGAGUGAGUUGCACUUUCAAUACCUACACGGGUAAGUCCCACAAGGAACAAACAAGGAUAUCCAUAGACAUAGAGUGAUGCACACACAAGAUGAUGUCUAUGAAAGCUUUUAGAUUACCUUGUCCCUUGUCUUACCAACAAGAGGGUUUGUGACUCCUUGAACUAGUGCAAUAUGUGGAAGUUGAUUGCACUUGUUCUUGCCAAGAUGAUAAGAGUGAAGUAUGUUGGUGGAGUCACCCUCAAGAACUCUCUAGUUCUUCUUCUUCGGGAUCCACACCAUCUUGAUGGGAAUCCUCGGUGUUGUAGUUGUACUUGAUGAAGUGGAACUUGAAGUAGUCUUGGGAACCCACUUGACCAAGGUCUUAGGAGCUUCUUCAAAUGCAUCAAUUUCCUCUUGAAGCUUGUCCUUGCCUUUUUGCUUGUGGUCUUGUGGUGGAAGAUCAUCUUGAGCUUGUGUCCCUUUGAGAGAAGUAGGAUCAUACUUAUAUUGUUGAGGAACAAACUUCUUCUUGGGGUAUUGAUCUUCUUCCCACUCAACUCCAUUGGCAUUGAACUUUCGUUCAAAACCAACACCUUGAUUCUUCCGGUGCCUUCCUUGCAUGCGUACAAUUUCCUCGAAUUGCUUACUUUCGGCAAGGCUCUUGUAAACACAUUUCUCUAUAAUUCCCUUCAAUAAGCUAUUUUCUUGCUCAAGUGUAACUUGGCUAAGAGAAUCAUUAGUGGAAUCAAGAGAACUAUUAGAAGCAACAAUAUUGGAUUUAGCAUGAUUAUUGUUACUACUAGAGGAAGAAUCUUUCUUGUUCUUGUUACUAGACUUGACUUGAGGCAUGUAAGUGGAUAAGAGUAAACGCUUGGCAAUGUAAGAAGAACUUUUCUUACGAAGAUCAUCAUUGAUUGCUUUUAAGGACUCAUGCUCUUGCUCAAGGUUGAGCUUUUCAAAGCGUAAUUUCUCAUGAGUCCUUAAAAGUUCUCGAUGAUCUCCCAAGAUAGUUUCAUGAGCUAACUUAAGAGUGUUUAGUUCUUUAGUUAGAGACUCAAUCUUCUCCUUAUCAUUGUCAUUCGUUUUAUCUUGAUUAGCAUGAUUAAUUGACGUUUCAUCAUAGUAUUCAUCACUAGAGUUGUCAACAAGUAAAUCAUCAUCACCUAACAAGUCAUCUUCAUCACUAUUGAAAUCAACAUACUCGGGGUGUGAUACCUUUGGGCCUUUAGCCAUGAAGCAUGUUCCAACUCCUUCAUUUGGUGAGUCAAAUAUGUCGUAGGAGUUGGUUGUCACAAGUGCUAGACCGGCAACACCUUCAUCUUGAGUAUAUUCGGAGUCGGAGUGAUAGCUUCUCUCGGAGUGGUUGUCGGAGUCGGAGCCGGAUACCCAUUCACCAACAUGAUCUUGAUGUCUUCCUUUUGUGUAGCUCCUUGAUGACUUGUCCUUUCUUUUCGAAUCCUUGCUUCUCCGUGAGGGUCUUCGUUCAUAACGAUCAUCUCUACUCCUUCUUUCUCUAGAUGGUGAUUCUUCUCUUCUCUUGUAGGGGGUGUACACUCAUUGGAAUAGUGUUCGGGCCUUCCACAAUUGUAGCAGUUUUGCUCUCGACUAGAAGAUCUUUUGUCAUUGUAGGACCUUGACUUGGAGCUUCUCUCUUUGCUUAUACUCUUGUAGUACUUUUUGAAGUUCUUCACCAUUAAGCUCAAUUCUUCAUUGAAGGUUUGUUUCUCACUCGAUGAUGUGGGGGCUUCACAUGAGGCUUUGCAAGCACCACUUGAUUUGUUGUGAAGUUCCUCUUUAUCCUUGAGUGACAUAUCAUGAGCAAUAAUUCUUCCGAUGACUUCCGUUGGCUUGAGAUCUUUGUAAUUGGGCAUCAUUUGGAUCAAUGUGCACACGGUAUCAUAUUUUCCAUCCAAGGCUCUUAGGAUCUUCUUGAUGAUGAAUCUUUCGGUCAUCUCUUCACUCCCUAAGCCGGCAAUCUCAUUUGUGAUAAGAGCAAGCCUAGAGUACAUUUCAGCGACACCUUCACCAUCCUUCAUUUUGAACUUGUCAAGUUGACUUUGAAGCACAUCCAAUUUGGAUUCCUUGACGGAGUCGGUACCUUCGUGCAUAUCAAUCAAAGUAUCCCAAAUUUCCUUUGCAUUCUCAAGACGGCUAAUUUGUUGAAUUCUUCGGGGCACAAUCCGUUGAAGAGGAUAUCACAAGCUUGAGCGUUGUAUUGCAGCAUCUUCAACUCUUCCGCGGUAGCUUCACGGUUUGGUUCUUUCCCAUCAAAGAAUUCACCUUGCAAGCCAAUACACACAAUAGCCCAAACGGCGGGGUUAUGUCCAAGAAUAUGCAUUUUCAUCUUAUGCUUCCAACUAGCAAAAUUAGUGCCAUCAAAGUAAGGACCUCUACGGUGAUAAUUUCCCUCGCUAGACGCCAUACUCUCCUAGGUUGUGAAACCAAGGCUAUGAUCACCAAAAGCUAUGGAAAUCAAAGCAAAUGGAGACCAAAGCUCUGAUACCACUUGUAGGAUCAAAAGUAUGUCUAGAAGGGGGUGAUUAGACUACUUGACCAAAUAAAAAUCUAGCCUUUUCCCAAUUUUAGUUCUUGGCAGAUUUUAGCUAUCUUAGCACAAGUCAAGCAAUCUCCACACAAUUCAAGCAAGCAUGCAAAAGAGUAUAUGAGCAGCGGAAAGUAAAGCAUGCAACUUGCAAGAAUGCAAAGGGAAGGGUUUGGAGGAUUCAAACGCAAUUGGAGACACGGAUGUUUUGUCGUGGUUUCGAUAGGUGGUGCUAUCGUACAUCCACGUUGAUGGAGACUUCAACCCACGGAGGGUAACGGUUGCGCGAGUCCAUGGAGGGCUCCACCCACGAAGGGUCCACGAAGAAGCAGCCUUGUCUAUUCCAUCACGACCGUCGCCCACGAAGGACUUGCCUCACUAGCGGUAGAUCUUCACGAAGUAGGUGAUCUCCUUGCCCUUACAAACUCCUUGGUUCAACUCCACAAUCUUAUCGGAGGCUCCCAAGUGACACCUAGCCAAUGUAGGAGACACCACUCUCCAAAAAGUAACAAAUUGUGUGUUGAUGAUGAACUCCUUGCUCUUGUGCUUCAAAUGAUAGUCUCCCCAACACUCAACUCUCUCUCACAGGAUUUGGAUUUGGUGGAAAGAAGAUUUGAGUGGAAAGCAACUUGGGGAAGGCUAGAGAUCAAGAUUCAUAUGGUUGGAAUGGAAUAUCUUGACCUCAACACCAAUGUAGGUGGUUCUCUCUCAGAAAAUGUGUAUUGGAAGUAUAGGUAUGUUCUGAUGGCUCUCUCCACGAAUGAAGAGUGGGUGGAGGGGUAUAUAUAGCCUCCACACAAAAUCUAACCCUUACACACAAUUUUCCAAACUCGGUGGGACCGAAUGGUUAAACUCGGUCGGACCGAUUCAGCAAACCUAGUGACCGUUAGGAUUUUCGGUGGGACUGAGAUGCAACUCGGUAGGACCGAUAUGGUUAGGGUUAGGGCAUAACGUAAUCUCGGUGUGACCGAUUACACAAACUCGAUGGGACCGAUUUUGGUAAUAAGCUAACCAGAGAGUUGGUCAGGUAAACUCGGUGGGACCGAUUCGCUCAUCUGGUGAGACCGAAAUGUUACAAAAGGGAAACAGAGAGUUUACAUUGCAAUCUCGAUGGGACCGAUCGCUCAUCUCGGUAAGACCGAAACGUUACGAAGGGAAACAGAGAGAUUACAAUCCCAUCUCGAUGAGACCGAGAUCCCUAUCGGUGAGACCGAUUUGCCUAGGGUUUGUGGUAGUGGCUAUGACAUUUGAAACUCGGUGGCGCCGGAUAGAAAGAAUCGGUGGGGCCGAGUUUGACUUUUGGUUUAGGUCAUAUGCGGAUGUGGGAGAGUAGUUGAGCAUUUUGGAGCAUAUCACUAAGCACUUUGAGCAAGCAAGCCAUUAAGCAACACCUCAUCCCUCCUUGAUAGUAUUGGCUUUUCCUAUAGACUCAAUGUGAUCUUGGAUCACUAAAAUAUAAAAUGUAGAGUCUUGAGGUUCAAGCUUGAGCCAAACUUUUUAUCCUUAGAAUUUUGAGGGAUCCACUUUCCUCAUCCAUGCCAUGCCAUUCAUUGAGCUUUUCCUGAAAUAUUAAUCUUGGAAUAAUGUUAGCUCAAUGAGCUAUAUGUUGUUAGGAAUUACCAAAACCACCCAGGGAUAGUUGCACUUUUAGAAACAAGAGCAAAAGAGUUCGUAAAAGUUUUUCUUUUUCACUUUAAGUUUAUCAACUGAGUUGAUUGAUGACAAGCAAAGGUUUAAGCUUGGGGGCGUUGAUACGUCUGCAACGUAUCUACUUUUCCUAACGUUUUUCCUCUUCUUUUGGACUUUAAUUUGCAUGAUUUGAAUGAAACUAGCCCUGGACUGACGUUGUUUUCAGCAGAACUACCAUGGUGUUGUUUUUGUGCAGAAAUAAAAGUUCUCGAAACGGAACGAAACUUUGCGAGGACUUUUUAUACAAUAAUGGAGAAUUUAUGGAGCCAAGAGACACCUAAGGGGGCACCUGGGUGGUCACAACCCACCAGGGCGCGCCUGCCCCCCACCCCCCCCACCCCACCCCAUGUGCGCCUAGGUGGGUUGUCCCCACCUGGUGGCCCCGCAGACUGUGAAACCGACGCUAUAAAAUCCUAUUUUUCUAGAAAAAAUCAGGGCGAAAGAAUUAUCGCGAUCCAUGAGACGGAGCUGCCAUCACCUUCUGUUCUUCAUCGGGAGGCCAGAUCUAGAGUCUGUUUGGGGCUCCGAAGAUGGGUAUCUUUGUUCUUCAUGAUCACCAACCCUUCUCCAUCGCCAAUUCCAUGAUUCUCCCCACCGGGAGUGAGUAAUUCCUUCGUAGGCUCGCUGGUCGGUGAGGAGUUGCAUGAGAUUCAUCUUGUAAUCCACUUAGUUUUGUUAGGGCUUGAUCCCUAGUAUCCCCUAUCUUCUGAGAUUGAUGUUGCUAUGACUUUGCCAUGCUUAAUGCUUGUCACUUUGUGCUCGGGUGCCAUGAUUUCAGAUCUGAACCAUUUAUGUUAUGACUAUUGUAUCCAUGUUCUAGAUCCGAUCUUGCAAGUUAUAGUCACCUACUACGUGUUAUGAUCCGGCAACCCCGGAGUGACAAUAGUCAGGACCACUCCCGGUGAUGACCAUAGUUUGAGGAGUUCAUGUAUUCACCAUGUUUUAAUGCUCUGUUCCAGUUCUCUAUUAAAAGGAGGCCUUAAUAUCCCUUAGUUUCCAAUUGGACCCCGCUACCACGGGAGGGUAGGACAAAAGAUGUAAUGCAAGUUCUUUCCGUAAGCACGUAUGCCUAUUUACGAAAUACAUGCCUACAUUAUAUUUAUGAACUGGAUCUAGUGCUGCAUCGCCCUAGGUUAUGAUUGUCACAUGAUGAAUAUUAUCCAACAAAUCAACGAUCCAAUGCCUACGAAUUUCUAUCAUAUUAUUUCUGCUAAGUUACUACUGCUAUCAUUACUAUUGCACUUGCUACAAAACUACUGCUAUCAUUGUUACUGUUGCUAUUUCUAUUUCUACUACUAUCAAACCUAUCAUAUUACUGUGAUACUGAUCAUCUUGCUGCAGAUAAUUAAUCUCCAAGUGUGACUGAAUUGACAAGUCAGUUGCUAAUACUUACAAAUAUUCUUUGGCUCCCCUUGUGUUGAAUCUAUAAAUUUGGGUUGAAUACUCUACCCUCGAAAACUGUUGCGAUCCCCUAUACUUGUGGGUUAUCACCUACAUAUUAUUGAGUCCACUCCUAGCGUGCCUUUUCCAGUCAGUCUCCCCUCAUACCGUGAUUGAGGGCGACCAAUCUUCUUAAGGUCAGGAAUGAAGUCAACACAAAACCCAAUGACCAUCGCUAUUUGUUGGCCCGCGGAGAUGCUUCCUUCUGGCCUGGCACGGUUAUGAGCAUAUUUAUUUAAGACUCCCAUGAACCUGUCAAAGGGGAACAUAUUGGUUAGAAAUACAGGGCCCAGAAUGGCAAUCUCGUCGACUAGAUGAACUAGGACGUGCAUCAUGAUAUUGAAGAAGGAUGGUGGGAAGACCAGCUCGAAACUGACAAGACAUUGCACCAAAUCACUCCUUAACCUUGGUAGGAUUUCUAGAUCAAUUACCUUCUGAGAGAUUGCAAUGAGUAAUGCACAUAGCUUCAUAAUGGCUAAUCGAACAUUUUACGGUAGAUGCCCCUCAAUGAAACCAGAAGCAGUUGCAUCAUAAUCACGUGGCAGUCAUGAGAAUUUAGGUUCUGGAACUUUUUCUCUACCAUAUUUAUUAUUCCCGUUAUAUUCGAUAGGAAGCUAGACUGGACCUUCAUACUGAGCAGGCACUCAAAGAAGAUUUCCUUCUCUUCUUUGGUAAGAGAGUAGCUGGCAGGACCUUCAUACUGCUUUGGAGGCAUGUCGUCUUUUUUGUGCACACGUUGCUAGUCCUCCCAUGCCUCCGGUGUAUCUUUUGUCCUCCCAUACACGCCCAAGAAGCCUAGCAGGUUCAUGUAAAGAUUCUUCGUCAUGUGCAUCAUGUCGAUUGCAGAGCGGACCUCUAAGUCUUUCCAAUACGGUAGGUCCCAAAUAUAGAUUUCUUCUUCCACAUGGGUGCGCGUCCCUCGGCGUCAUUCGAAACAGAUAGUCCGCCGGGACUCUUUCCAAUGGUUACAUGUAAAUCAUUGACCAUAGCAAGUAUUUGAUCACCAGUACGGACGGCGGGCUUCUUCCAGUGAUCCUCCUCGCCUUUGAAAUUCUUGCCUUUCUUUCGACAUUGAUGGUUGGUCGGAAGAAAUCGACGAUGUCCCAGGUACACAUUCUUCCUACAUUUGUCCAAAUAUAUACUUUUGGUGUCAUCUAAACAGUGCGUGCAUGUGUGCUAUCCCUUGUUUGUUUGUCAUAAAAGGAUACCGAGAGCUGGCCAAUCAUUGAUGGUUACAAACAGCAAUGCAUGUAGGUCAAAUUCCUCCUGGUCGUGCUCAUCCCACACAGGUACACCUUUUCCAUUCCACAGCUGUAAAAGUUCUUCAACUGAUGGCCCUAGGUACACAUCAAUGUCGUUGUUGGGUUGCUUAGGGCAUGGGAUGGUCACUAUCAUCAUAAUGAACUUCUGCUUCAUGCACAACCAAGGAGGAAGGUUAUAGAUACAUAGAGUCAUGGGCCAGGUGCUAUGAUUGCUGCUCUGCUCCCCAAAAGGAUUAAUGCCAUCCACGCUUAAACCAAACCAUAUGUUCCUUGCCUCACCUACAAAGUCCCCCCAUGUUCUCUCAAUUUUUCUCCACUCCAACCCGUCAGCGGGUGCUCUCAACUUCUUGUCUUUCUUACGGUCCUCUUUGUGCCAUCGCAUCAACUUGGUAUGCUCUUUGUUUCUGAACAGACAUUUCAAUCGUGGUAUUAUAGGAGAAAACCACAUCACCUUGGCAGGACCCUCUUCCUGGAGCGCUCCCCCUCAACAUCACCAGGGUCAUCUUGUCUGAUCUUAUAUCACAAUGCACCGCAUAUCGGGCAUGCGUACAAAUCCUCAUACGCACCGCGGUAGAGGAUGCAGUCAUUAGGGCAUGCAUGUAUCUUCUGCACCUCCAAUCCUAGAGGGCAUAGAACCUUCUUUGCUCCGUAUGUAUUGUCGGGCAAUUCAUUAUCCUUUGGAAGCUUCUUCUUCAAUAUUUUCAGUAGCUUCUCAAACCUAUUGUCAGAUACACCAUUGUCUACCUUCCAUUGCAGCAAUUCCAGUGUGGUACCGAGCUUUGUGUUGCCAUCUUCACAAUUUGAGUACAACCCUUUUUUGUGAUCCUCUAACAUGCGAGCGAACUUUAACUUCUCCCUUUCACUUUGGCAUUGGCUCUUUGCAUCAACAAUGACCCGGCGAAGAUCAUCAUCGGGGACAUCGUCUGGUUCCUCUUGAUCUUCAGCUUCCCCCAUUGCAGCAUCACUGUACUCAGGGGGCGGAUAGUUGGCAUCAUCCUCUUCUUCUUUGUUGUCUUCCAUCAUAACCCCUCUUUCUUCGUGCUUAGUCCAAACAUUAUAGUGUUGUAUGAAACCCUUCUCAAGCAGGUAGAUGUGAAGGGUUUUCGAGUCAGAGUAAGACUUCGUAUUCCCAUAGAUAGGGCAUGGACAACACAUAAAACCAUUCUGCUUGUUUGCCUCAACCACUUCGAGAAAAUUAUGCACGCCCUUAAUGUACUCGAAGGUGUGUUUGUCACCAUACAUCCAUUGUCGGUUCAUCUGCGUGCAUUAUAUAUAAUUAAGCGUGUCAAAAACCAUUAUAGAACAUCAGGAAUAGAGAAGUGACCAAAUUAAUAGAAGUUCAUAAUCACAUUAAAACCAAAGUACAGUAGUGAUCAAAUGUUAUUACUGAAAAAAUAAAUACAUAAAGUUCAUAUAUAGUUUUCAUUGAACAACAUAUAGCUCUCUAGAGCAUUUAAUUAAACCAUACAAUGAAACUAUGUAAAAAAAUUAAAUGCAAUAACAAAUGCAAUCAUAAUCACAACUAAGGUAACAAUUGAUCCAACGACAUAAUGAUACCAAGCCUCAGUAUGAAUGGCAUAUUUUCUAAUCUUUCUAAGCUUCAAGCGCAUUGCAUCCAUCUUGAUCUAGUGAUCACCGACGACAUCCGCAACAUGCAACUCCAAUUUCAUCUUACCCUCCUCAAUUCUUUUCAAUUUUUUCUUCAAGUAAUUGUUUUGUUUUUCAACUAAAUUUAACCUCUCGACAAGAGGGUCGGUUGGAAUUUCCGGUUCACAUACCUCCUAGAUAAAAACAUCUAUGUCAUGUUGGUCGGCAUAAUUGUCAUAAACACUAAAUGAAACAAAUAGUUAUAAAAGAUAUAUAAUAUAUACCGCAUCCGAAUCAUAGACAGGACAAGGGCCGACGGGGGCGGAUACCAAAACCAUCGCACUAUAUAAUAACAAACGAUAAUAAAAGUAAGAAAAUUAUACAAGUAUCUAUCUAAAUCAUACAAGUAAGAAUUUUUUCGUUUAGAAAGAAGAUAAGAACAGGAGGCUCACCACGGUGGUGCCGGCGACGAGAUCGGCACGGGGCAGUGAGGAGGGGACGGGACAGGACGGACCGCCAAACCUAGACAAAUUUUGAGAAAAAUGGAGCUUGGACAAGGAGCUUCGAGAGAAGAAAGCUUAAGUGUGGCUCGGGCAUUUCAUCGAACACCUCAUGUGCAUAGGAGGUGAGCUAGAGCAACACACACCUCUCCCACAGCCGGCCAAAGAAACAGAGCAGUGGCUCUGUUCGCGGGCAGGGACGGGUGUAUAUAUAGGGAUGUCUUUAUUCCCGGUUGAUGGCUAGAACCGGGACAGAAGACUGACAUUUGGUCCCGGUUCCAGCCACCAACCAGGACUAAAGAUGUUGGGCCAGGAGCAAGGCCCAUUGGUCCCUGUUCGUGUCUGCAACCGGGACCAAAAUUGUCAGAUGAACCGGGACCAAUGGCCCCCGAGGCCCGGCCGGCGCCCUGGCCUCAUGAACCAGAACUGAUGCCCCUGUUGGUCCCAGUUCGUGAGUGAACUGGGAUUAAUGCCCUUACCCGGACCUCAACCAAAGCCCUAUUUUCUACUAGUGGAAGAGCAUGAGCUAGAACAUGUAGUUGCGAAGGAUCUCGUGCGAGAUAUGCUGUUACCAACAAUCCGUGAAGAAUACCCUUGCAUACCACAAAAAAAUUCUAGAAGGUGUCAAGAAGGCCCUGCCAGAGCAACAAGCCGAAAUUGAAAGUCUGAAAUUGGGCAUGUUAUAUCUGCAUAACCAUCUUGAAUCAAUGAACACUGCCCCCGUAGAGCAAACAACAAGAACCUGACCCAUCCUAUGAUAUGUGAGCAACACAACUAAGUCAUAUGUGCUUAGUUUUCAUUUUGCAGCUGUGGCUGAUGGUUUGGUAUUGUAAUGUCUUGUACAGUCUGUUUAACAAUUGUUAAGGUUGUGGUUUACUAAAAGCAGUGAUUGCUGAAUUUGGAUCAAAACUCAAAUUUUGCACAAAUUCAUAUUAAAUUUAUUUUAAGAAAUCAAUAUUGUAUCAAAAUGUGACCACCAAUUACAAUAUAAUAUGAAUUGAGUACGCCAAAGUACUAUGACGGUCAUGAAUGGCGUCAAAAGUGUAUGGUCCACAUCUAAGAAGCCAUGUCACCCACGUAUGGACCCGCCCGCCAGCAUCCACGUCAGCACAAUAAUGGGCCCACAUGUCAGAACCAUUGACCGGUCAGACGACACAUCGUCACCAAAAAACAACGUCUGGUCCCACAUGUAAGCAUCCACGUCAGCAUCUUCUAGGCCCAUAUGUCAGCAGCGUUGAGCGGAAAUUGACGCCGAGUUAUUACUAACGGGAGCAUCAGCGAUAGAACCCACGGUGGACCCACACUGCACCCCACGAUGAGCGGCGGGCAGUGCGCAGAUUGGAUGGUUUCCCCCAUGGAUGGUGCCCCACCCGACGACACGCCCCUAGGAUUCUCUGCAACAGCAAAGGUGGGCGAAGCCUACAGUGAAACGACAACCGAGCAUAGAGGAUCCACUCAAGCCACGGCUGGGUGGUGGGGCGCUCUGGCUGGGGAUUUGAUAGAAAAGGUCCCUAGCGGGAUCGAUGGAAGUUGUGAUUAGCGCCAGGGUGGGAUCAUAAUCAUGCCGCAUGACAACUGUCUCUGGGCGGCAGGCGGCUGAAGGGGAAUCGGGAACGCUCUGCUUCGUUGACCGCGCUCCUGCUUGGUGAGGCCAUCAGCAACAGGGGGGCCUUGAUUUUUAUUUUUUGUUUCGACUUUCUCGAAUGCUUGAUACAUUGUACUAUUAAAGAUGGAUGCGUGCAUCACAAUAAGGCUGCUUGUAAUGGGUAGUAUCAUAAGUUAGUAUUAUGCAUAUGAUACUAGUGUGUGAUAUUAUCCCCCUAAUGCAUAGUAUCAUGUACUAGUAUCAUAGAUGACUUUAUUUAUUGCCAUGCAUGACACAUAGUAGCAUUGCAUUUAUUAUGAUACGGUAUCAUGAUAUGAUACUCAACCAUCUCUUUCUUCAUUUAAUGUUAUGCCACAUCAUCAAAAUUGUCUACUUGGCAUGCAUGAUACUACUACCUCUCUCUCAGUUUACAGGGCGUGCGCGUGCCUUUAGGUCGUCAAUUUGACCAACCUAAUACAAGUCAUAUAUUACAAAAAAUAUAUCAAUAUAAACUUCAGAUGUUCUAUUUUCAAACCGUAUAAUUUUUGUGUUAUAUAGUUUAUAUUAAGGUGAUAAAAUUGACAACCUAGAUAUACGUGUAGGACUUGUAAACUGAAACGGGAGUAGUACCUAUGAUACUCCCAUUACGACCAGCCUAAUGCAGUGGCCGACGCAAUCCCCUUGUUGAAAGAAAACACACAUUUGCUGGCAAACUGAAUAUUCUCGUCAUAAAUAUAACAUAGUGACAUUCUACUUCCCUAUACACGUGUGCAUGCAUGCAUGCCAUUAUGUGGUCGAAACAAAAGUUGUUACUAGCAAGCUACAAGUUUGUGUGAUGUAAAUUGGAGAUUGCUUGAGAGAUUUCAUUUCUCGUGCAAUGCGUGGUCAUACCCUAUAAUACAUACAGCCUAAAUUCUAAAAAGUGCAUACGCACUAAUUAGAGGAAACGAGCGGCCGGUCUUACACACGCAUGCACGUAGUUUUGUGGUCUAAAUUUUGUCUUUAUUCGUGAUGUGGCAUGUACUAAUAGGAUGGUCACAUGGGCAAGACACCACAUUAUUUCAUGGAUGCGCAUGUCCAUUUAUUCAGGUUUUCAAAUUUUUAAAAAGCUAUAUCUUUUAAACCGUGCUUCGGAAUUUAGAUCCGUUUUCACUAUUGGAAUCCUCGCGACGAGAUCUUUGAAACUAGAUCCCGCAUGGGUAUGUUUUGUUGAAAUUUUUUUCAUGCCAACUUUGAUAAUAUAUUGUGCAACUCUAUUACUGUAUUGUGCAACUUUAUUACUAUAUCAUGCAACUUUUUUCCAAAACUAAUGUUUGGAGCUACACCUUCCUAUGAGGUUGCAAUCUAGCAAACACGACAAUUUUGAUGUGCAACUAGUCUAUUGCCUCGACGAAAGUCGAUGUGCAACCUCCUCUUGUAAUGUAGUCUAGUUGCACACACAUUGAUGUUUAGUUGGUUUGUAAUAUAGUCUAGUUGCACACACAUUGAUAUUUAGUUGGCUUGUAAUAUAGUCUAGUUGCACACACAUUGAUAUUUAGUUGGCAGUUGGCAGGAAGACUAGUUGCACACACAUGCUCAGUUGGCUUGUAAUUUAGUCCAGUUGCACACACAUUGAUGUUUAGUUGGCAGAACACUAGUUGCACACAUAUAUACUCAGUUGGCGCGGCAAUGUAGUCUAGUUACACACACAUUGUUGUUUAGUUGGCAGGACUUUUUUGGUACACACACAUAUGCUCAGUUGGCGCGGCAAUCUAGUCUAAUUGCACACAAAUUGAUGUUUAGUUGGCAGGAAGACUAGUUCGUCGAAACAUCCCCAUGUGGGAUCUAAUUUCGAAGAGCACGUCACGAGGAUUCCAGCGAUGAAAACGGAUCUUAAUUCCGACACGCGGAUUAAAAGUUAUGCUUUUUUUAAUUUUUGAAACUACGAAUUAAAUACACCAAAGAAUAAAACGCAUGCACCGAAGGAAUGGCUGUGCAGACAUUUAAUGAUCAGGUGAAAAGUUUUCUUAAUUAGGAUGAUUAAUUAGAAAGAGGGAUAAAAAAAUUCUUAAAAUAGCCGGCCGCCAUGCAGGGCUAACGGGCAGCUGUUUGCCCGCUAGACGCGUCCUACAUACAGAAGGCGCUUUAUAUGGUAGCAUGCAAGGGUGCGGUGUUUGUUGGAGAAAGUUGUAUGCUUCUGCAUAAACUGACAAACAACCUGUCUUGCACUAAAAAGAGUGAAACGUAUGGGUUUCUGCAUGCCCGCAACUGACUUGUUCCUUCACAUGAGAUUAACCACAAUGCAAGAAAAGGGUUGCAAAAACAUCUGGUUAAUUAAUUGAAGUGAUGAUUAAAUCACCUGUAGCUGUGAAAUAUACUCCUCCGCUUUACAGUACACUAAUAUCAAAAACGCUACUCCCUCCGUUCCAUAAUGUAGCGCAUAUAGAUUUUCUACAAAGUCAAACUUUAUAAACUUUGACCAAGUUUAUAGAGAAAACUAUUUAUAUCUACAAUACCAAAUAUAUAUAAUAUGAAAGUAUGUGUUGUGAUGUAUCUAAGCACACGUAUUUGGUAUUCUAGAUGUAUAUGAUUUUCUCUACAAACUUGGUCAAAGUUUAUAAAGUUUGACUUCUAAAAAAAUCUAUAUGCGCUACAUUGUGGAACGGAGGGAGUAUUAUAUUAUGGGACGAAAGAAAUAUCAUUUUUGCACCAUCUGAAUCAUCACCAUCUUGGUGUAUUUGAAAUGGAACAGUUCAAGCAGACCUUACUUAAACAACAGAGCAUGUCGACAGUGUAUAUAUUACUGCUAGGCGCUAGCUAGGAAGAAAUUUAAAUAGAUUUGUUGAUGGCAAAUUCAACACUCAAUUUAGCAUGCAUUUCUUUCUGACAUGGACGAUCUGAAAUUCUGGAUCAAGAAGACAGGAAAUGCACAUCAAAAAACAAAUUAAGAACGAAAGCCUCAAUUAAAACAUGGAUCGAAAGGAUCUAAUUAGGGGGUGAGGAUAAUGAGCUAGCUCAAUUAG